rnacentral:lncRNA from 1 species
UUGUUCUACUACUUGUUGAAUCAUACACAAAGGCACGUUUUAUAGCACCGAGUUACCAAAUGCGUUUUCGUGCAAUCAAUGUACAACCAACUCAUAGUAACAACUCAUAUCUCUAGGUUUGAAGAAUAUAAGAUAUUAUCGUCUCAUGAUCACUCGUGAUAAAAUCCAUGAAGUGAUUCCAAUGAGCGCGGGUUGAAUCCAAUACUCAGAACUUAUGAGCACUCAUGAGUGUUGUAGCCCUUUGUCCAACACCUUAGACCUCUACAAGCCAACCCAUGACAGUCUUAAUUCAUAUCUACUUCCAACAUAUGACCGACUGUGGAUGGUUUGAAUAACUUAGUCAUUCCGGAAGAAUAACCUAGUUUAUUCGGGAAGUCAAAACAUGCAAAGUGAAACACAAUAAUAAUUGAAUCCAAUAUGGUAUCAAAUCUUUGAACAUAAAUAAAACACCUUUUAUUUAUCACCAUAUGAUUACACAUUAUUCAUUGUAUACUGUUUCAGCUAUCAACUUUAUUCUUGAAUUUAAAACAAUAGUUGUCCCAUGCUCCAAGCAUGUACACUAUGUUUUCUUAAACACUAGUCAUGCCACACACCAAGUAUGCAUACUAUGUUUGUCUAUGAUCUUUACUUUGUGAACUAGAUCAAUUGAACAUAACUUCAAUGAUUCUCUUUUCACACUCCCAAAUCCUUACUGCAAAUGCAAGAAUUCCAAAUUCAUGCCAUUUACUGAAAUCUGUUAGAUUCUAAACUUAUAUGCAUUGAUCCUCUUGUAAUGAUUAUGCACAAAGUCAGAAAGACUUGACAACAAUCAUUACAGAGUAUUCCAAAGGAGAUCAGCUCCUUGGAAACAUCCUUCUUGCAUUAAGUUUCCUAAUCUUAAACAGAUUGAAAAUUCUAACUUUGAAACAUUUCCAGAUUCCAUUUUGACUAUCACUUCUGAACAAGAGUUGCCUCCUUACAGAUUAUGUCAAUAUGGUCCUUCCAGAAUUAUCACUAUACUUCCAACUGUCCUUGAGCAACCAAUCUUUGGUAAACCUUAGAUUGUCCUCGACAAUUGUUUAAUCCUUUUAGUCAUAUCCAGUUCUAAACCUUUUCCCUUCUUAAUGCCCCAGGCAUUUGGAAAAUUUUAGAACGGAUGAAUAUAGCACAUGUAAUCGAUCCUAUAUCCGAAGCAUAUGGGACACGAUUCAUGAUGUCUUACAUAAAGACUAAACCAGUCUUUUGCUAUAAUAUUUCCAUUUCAAUUUGCCAAGUUCUCAUAAUUCAGAUUAUGAAAAGGGAUGCCGUAAUCAUAAUCGAAUUUUAGAACGCAAAUAAUGGACCCAUAUACAGAAUUUCCUUAUGUUGAGCCAUUCCAACAUGAAAUUCAUAUAUAUCCUUGACUAAAUGAUUAAAACCUCACGAUCUAAGCUUAUAGAUUUGAGAUGAAGUAUAAUUUCCUCUCCCUUAAUUAUAGCAAAACAACUUUUUCCCAAUUGAAACUUUUGUUUUCUAUAAUUAACAUUGCUAACUUGCAAUACUUAUCAUAAUUAUCAUGCUCCCACUAACAUGAUGAUUAUUAGCAUAACACUUAUGCUCCCACUAGCUUUGACAUGUACUCAGAAAUCAGCUGGACUUCUAGAAAUCAAUACUUCAUUGACUUUCUUACCAAAGUUCAGAUUUCUGAUGCUAGAUUGUUUUGAUAAAGCUGUAUCAAAAUCAUACACCUUCCCUUAGAUAGCACACUUGUGUAUCUAAACAAUUAUGAAGAGGGAUGCCGUAAUCAUAAUGUUUAGACCUUUUUGCCACUUCUCACAAGUCCAAAUUAGUGUGCCGGUUAACCACACGCGCUCCACUAACGACUUUGAGAAUGCAAAUAUCACAAUUGCUAUCUAGCUAAAAUCUACUUAGUGAAAGUGUUUCCUCACCAUCAUUUUCAUGAAUCGGAGAGAAACCUUAUGACACUUAGAUUUAAUGGUGUAUGUGUUCUUAUCCAUGUGAAUUGUCAAAACCAUAGUCACAAGACAAGGAUAAUGACAAAUCCAAACUCAUAUGGACUGAACUCAAUCUUAAUUUCUUGCCACCUGGCAGCUCAAGGGCCUACCAUUGCUUCCAAGUUGUUAUGCAACAAAUUGAGAACUCUAAGAACUCAUAUGCAAAGCCAACUUUAACUGGAAUGGGCACAGAAUAUGUCAACACGAUAGGUUAUAAACCUCAAGUCGUGUGCUAGUGAAGAACUUCAGGUUUUAUUCUUGAUUAGUUCUUGAGACUUUCAAGACCUUUAAGACUCCCACUGUCCUCUUGACAUAUAAGACUCCCUUGUCAAACAUCCAAGAGAUAGUGCGGAUUCUAAUCAAGAAAAACACUUUACCCAAUUGGCCUAAGUUGGUCUUUGUUUUAUCCAAAACAUCACAACUUACCAAUUUCAAAUGUACAAGAGUAGAAAACUUUUACUCUUACAUUUGACAAGUGUUUUAAACCUUCUUUAAGACAUGUCACUCAAAUGACAAUCUUGGAGUAUGACUCUAAGACUUGUAUUGGAACGAAGUAUGACUCAUCUUCUUGAUUUAACCAUUUCAACAAUUCAAGUUCCUCUUCUUAGUCAUAAGAAUGCACUAAGAUUUCCUUAGAGAACUAAUUUUGAUAUGGUUUCUUAAUCAUUAAGAUGAUCACAAAACUGAUACUAAAGUACUCUCCCAUCUUUUCAGAUUUGAGAAACUUUUAUCCUUCUGCCUUAUUUGAUUCUUCUUAUUCGCCCUGCCAUACAUUGGAACCUUUUCCAAUGUCUCAGAGUUACACUUAAGCUUGUAAGUAUAAUCAUAUUUACUGAGCUUUAGUAAACUAUGACGAAUAGUCUUAUCAAUCUUUUGUGGUGGACUUAAUCAGUGCACAAGAAUGUGUACUCGAUCCCUUAGUCCUUUACUUGACUCACACAUCCAUGUGGCCGAGUAAUUAGUCUUAAUUUUCCAAAACUUGAAAGUUCUCAUUCAUCAUGCUAUACAACUUGCAUGAUUCCAAGUUCCGGUCCAAUUGAAACUUGGGUGAUGAGAAUCUUUCCUUAUUUGGUAAAUCUAGACAUUACCACAAAUGAAAGAAUCAAUUUCAUAUUUCCACUCUUGCUCUUAAUGGAAUCAUAUAAGCAACAAUUUUUCCUCAAAAGCCAUUGUAAGGAUAUUUUAAAAUAAAUAAAAUCAAAAAAAUUUUCUUUUAUUUUAAAACUUUGCGGAAAAACUUAUCCUUACAAUCCAUAUGAAAACUUGUUGUUAUCUAUUCCUAAGCAAUAUCUCAUAACUCCUAAGAAGUUGCUCAAGAAUCCGAUCUUCAAACUAUGCGAUAGAAAUCCAUCUACGCCAUCAGAUUCAGCAUAUUCUUUCUUUAAGUUUCUUCACUUUUCUUUGAUUCUUAAAACAUCACCAUGUGACCCAGUCACAUCAUGUAUCAGGAAUCUCAGAAUAGAAACUUAACAGAGUUAGAUAGUGGUCUUUACCUGAAGUAGAGUCAAACUUAUUGACUUUAACAUCCUUAGGUAAAUUUGGCAGCUUCGCAACCAAUGCCCCUUCCCUUGGCAAUAUAAACAUAUGGACCCUUUGAUAAUGGUACACGAGACUAUCACAGACUUAGCUUUUCUCUUUACCAUUUGGUCAACCGAGUUGACUAUGGCCGAUCCCUUUCCAUUGGGAAGAGAAUGCUUUACUGGAUAUCCAAUGUCAUCAUUGUCAAUGUCCAUAAAGUUUUAGGAAGUUGAUCUUAGCAAAUAGAUAAGAUCAUUAAGGGUCUUGUCAUAGUCUGUUUCAUAGGUGUCCCAAAGGAACUCACUAUGUGACUUAGAAAGUGAUUGAACCACCAACUUUCUCAAGACUUUGACACCCAACUCUCCCGGCUUGUCAAUAUGUGACUACAUCUCCAAGAUGUGAUCACACCUAGACCUUGCCUUGCCAAUAGGGCUUGAGUGACCUUAAACUUUUCAAGAACUUGUGGGUUAGGGAGAAUAAUUGGAGGAGGUGAAAGAAGUAUGAUUUCCAAAGGACAUCAUCUUCAUUUAGGAAACCUUGUUUCACUAGAUUUGGGAAGAUCAUAGGUGUCUAUUACAGACAUCUUUUGGGAGAUAUUCAAGAUAGUUGAUUUAAAGUCCUUAAUAUGACACCCAAUAUGAAAUAUUAAGGCUAGGACCCAACAAACUAUUUUAUAACUUAGAAGAGGUAUGCCGUAAUCCAAGCUAUAAAAUAUUUGAAGGUAGGUGAAUGACGAUUCACCAAUUUCCACCAAGAUAAACGAAAUGUAUUAUUAGGUUUUAAUUGGUUUUGAAACUCCUAGAUCUUUGAGAUUCAUUGAACUUUUCAAAGGCAUGUUUCAAUCUCGAGUGUGCCCUUCAGGUUUUGUGACUGGGAUGCCGAGGAUCACAAAACAAGGUGUGAAGUAACCAUGCAAAUCACUUGGUACCCUUAAUAAAUUACCCCUCAAUCGAUGUGCCGGUUAACCACACACGCUCCAUCGAUACUAUGAUAAAUAUUAAGUCACCCUUUACCUACCUUGUUAAGUCCAAGUUAGUGUGCCGGUUAACCACACACGCUCCACUAACGACUUAGACAAAGUGUAAAGUGUAAUUUCAUGGAUUAGCACCUUAUUCACAUUUUUCCUAAGUAACUAAGAUUGGGUAUUAUUAAGAGUUUAGUUACUUAGUAUUAUCAUUAAUACUUUUAAUGAAGGGAGAAUUCUAGUCCUGUCAAACCCGUUCGGCUAACGACCCUCCACCAGUCAAGCAAGCGGUGGGUGAGAGUGGACACCCAUUAAGUUGCCAUUUUAUAGGCAACAACCUUAUACCCACCUUAUAGACCGGCUUCGUGAAUGAGGCGUACUAGCGGUAAGACUGACUUUACUCUUAUACAUAUAUAUAUUAUUAACUUAUAAUAUUAUAAAGUAUAAGGGUUGAAUUUUAACUUUUAAAAUUCUAAGGGCUAACUUGGAAUUAAAGUAUUCAUAAGUGAAAACUUUACAAAUUCCAAAACUUGAGGGCAAGUUUUGAAACUAUUCAAAACUAAUUAAUUCCAUAACUUAUGUGUUUAAAGUAGUUUUAAUCCAAAAACUCUUCAAGUUCCAUAACUUGAGGACAAGUUAUGGAAGACUUUAAACUAAUAAAAGAAUUAACUUUUCUUUAUUUUAUAACUUAUGGAAUUAAUUAAGGUUACACUUUUUUUUUUUUUAUUUUAUUUUAUUAAAUGAAGAGACUCUUGGUCCUCCAUAACUUGAGGACAAGUUAUGGAGUCAUAAAACCAUUUAAUUAGAACUAGACUCUUCAUUUUUGUAACCUUUGCCAAUUUUUAUGAGUUUUAUGAUUCUUAAAUGUGACUUUUCAUAUAACUUGAGGACAAGUUACAAAAACACAUUUUAGAAUCAAUUCUUAGAUUAAUUUGGAUUAAAACCAACUAUCACAUAAUUUUAUUCAUUAAUCUAAAUUCACUCAUAAAACAAGGUAACACAAAAAACUUUUGGUGAUCCAUAACUUAUUCUUAAGUUAUGGAAUCCUUUAAAACAUUAACACCAAAUUUUGUAACUCCAAAAAAACUUUGAAUCAAUUUUUUUUUUAAAACCUUUUCAUAUCCAUAACUUAUGGAGGUUUCAAAAAAUAAAACUCUUUAGAUCAAACUUUUAAAACUAAUAAAAUAAUCAUAUUAUUUUAUCUUUUAUUAAAUUUGACCUAAUUCAACUCAUAAAGCAAAUUAUUCAAAUUUUACAAAUAAUUAGUUUUUCACAAGAACAAGUAAUUAUCUUAAAAUUUGACAAACUUCAUGUUUUUUUUUUUUUUUUUUUUCAACUUUGAAAAUAAAAUAUUUGCAUCAAUAUAACAGAAAACAACCCGUGGCUCUGAUACCACUGUUGGGUUUUGAGCAUUCUAACACUUCCUAAGUGUACAUGCAACCCUAAAUACCUUGGAUCUAUGUUUUCUCUAUUAUACAUGCAAAUAAGAACAUCCAAGGUAUUAUCCUAAUCUAGCAUACAAAAACUAUGAAUGUAACAAGAUAGAAUACAUACCUCUUGAUGUAGCUUGAUGUCUUCAAGCUUUAAGAGCUUAGCCCCAAUAGUGUGGAAGCCUCAAGUGGAAUCACAAAUCACCAAGACACCUUGGAAUACUUUAGAGAAUAUGAUUACUUGGUUCUCUCUAGUGAAAUUGGCUAGCCCUUCUUUAGUGUAUCCACACUAGUGCCAAUUUCACCAACCAAAGACAUCUUUAUAUAGUAUGGAGGAUUAGGGUUAAACCCUAAUACCCAUGACCUUUCAUUUCCUAGGAUCCAUGGGUUAAACACUCCAUGGACUAUCCAUGAAAGCUUAGCCCAACCUAAAUGAACUUGGCCCAUUCCAUAUAUAUAAGAGUCCAUAUUUAAUUAGUUCCUUUUGAUCACUUAAUUAAUUAUAAAUUAAUUCUUGAUCAAUACUAAUUAAAUAAUAUGAUUCCAUAUUAAUAUAUUAGAACUUAUAAUAUAUUAAUAUUAAUCAUAAACAUACUAUUCUCAAAAGAUUAUCCAUAUAAAUUGUGUCGGUGAAGUGCAACCCAAAUGGACCAUGCCGGGUCGGGUCAAGUACAUACCAAAUAUAGUUAUGGACUUAGACAUUAAUCCAACAAUAAAGAUUGUUGAAAUCAGAGUUGAAACAAAGAAGUUAUGACCAUUUCAAGUUAGGAUGGUUUUGGGAUAAGCCGCGUACGUGGGGCAUACGGGGAAGUACGUUGGUCGUACUAGGGCAUCCCUGAGUAUGCUGGGCGUACCAGGAGUAUACUGGGCGUGCGUGAUCAACGCCCAAACCUUAUUUUCGUGGUUUGCGCCAUAUUUAAGCUCCUUAACUUCCCCAAACCCAUUCCAUUCUCAUCCUUUUCGUCUGUAACACCCUCCCUUGAAAACCCUAACCCUAGUUUGAGCCUUUUGGGCAAAAGAAGGUGUGCUUGAGUUCUUUGGAGUGUUCUUGGUGCAUAUUUGAGAAGAACGAGCUCUUUGAAGAAGUGUUGUGUAACAUCCUGAUUUUUCAGGUAUUAUGAUAUUUCUUGCAUCUUUAUUAUUAUGGCACCUUUGGUCCCUUGGAAGAAAAGUUUUAUGAUUUUAGUUGUAUGCCGGGUGUACGUAAGAGUACGUGCAGCAUACCAAUACAAAGGGUGGAUCGUAGGUGGCUAUCUAGUAUCCUGGGUGUAUGUGUGGUACGCCGGGUAUACUAGCCCAUACUCCAAAACCUUAAUUUCUUGGUUGCUCCCUUUCUAAAGAAAAUUAAGUCCUCUUUUUCGUCACCUUUAUCAGCCUCCAAACCCUCCCUAAACCAUAAUCCCAUGUUUGAGUGUUGUGUGAGCCUUGCAAGUUCAUUUGAGUGUUUUUCAUGCAUUUAUAUGAAGAAGGAAGUUAGUGAAAAAGAAGAAGGUGUUGGGAAGCUUGUAUAUCUAGAAAACUUCUCUCCUUGUGCAUGCACCAUUUUCAGGUAUAAAGUUUGUACCUUUACAAGUCUUUCAUUAGAUCUCCAUGUUUGAAGUUUUAAGAUUUUUGUCCCCAAAGAUUGGAACUUUAUGAGUUUGGAGCACUCUAGUGGUUUGUAGCAGUCCCUUCAUGUAUUAUAAGACUUGUGGAUGCAUAAAAAUGGUAGCUUGAUCACUUCUUUCAAUUCAUGCAUGAGAAAAAUGGCUUAGAAUGUGUUAGGAGUUUAUGAAUGGAUCUUGGGAACUCUUCUGGCCAUGGAAAGGCUUAAAGAUGAUAACUUUAUGGUUUUAGAUGUCGUGGAAUGGCCAGAUCUGUGAUUAGGAGUAAAUGUCUUAAAGGAUUAACACAUGUGUUACUAGAAAUGGGAAUAGACAGAGUACGUUGGGCAUACUCCAAGCUACGCCCCGUGUAGCCGGUCCAAGCCCCGUUAUUUCUGAUCCAAGUUGUACGCCCCGCGUGGAUUGUGGUAUGCUCAACAUAUGUUUUAAAUGUUGACAUUUGUUGAUUUUGACCCUUGGUCAAGAUUUAGGGUUUUUAGACCAUGCGAAGGGCAAAAUGGGCCUUUUUUCCUUAGAAGGUUUGUUCGUGGGAUUGAUAAUUUUUUAGUGAGUUUUGAACCUUAUUUAUUGAUUAAGGUUAAUUAUUUUUGACUAGCUGGAGUCUAGAUCCGACAGUUCGGGUGCUACGUUUUCGUGUCAUCAGUAUUAGGUGAGUCUCCUCAAUUACUCUUACCUUUACGGUAGGAUUGUUGUGUUAUGAUGACGAGAUGGGUCUAGCUACUUCACCAUGUUAUGCUAUGUACUUAUAAGUGAUUGAGGCUGCUAAUAGCCAACCAGGGUCGCUGAUAACCCACCAAGUGUGGUGUUAGCUCACCGGGACCGCUGAUACUCCCAGGGUUACAGAUAACCCAUGGCUGUUAUUUAUGUUGUAUUGUAUGUGGUAUCUUUGGGAAAUCACUAUGCUUUGUUCUUAGAGUUGUUGAUUUUAAUGUGACGGGUGCUUCACUGGAUCGCGGGAAGGCGAAGGUCGGAUUGUACACACGCGCUGAGGAAUUUACUAUUAGGACAUGUUUAUGAAAUCUUAUAAUUAAGAUACUUAUUGUUUUAGGAUAGUCAUGUAUUUGAUAAUGUGGUUGUGAAACUAUGAUUUUCAGUAAAUUUAAAACAAAAGAUUUGGUCUAAAAUUUGAGGUGUUACAACUUGGUAUUAGAGCCCUGGUUUAAGGGAUUUGGAUGAACCUCUAGGUGCUUCCAAACUCAAACUAAGGAUCUGAAAAUUUAAAGAACUUAACAAGAAAUGAAGACUUUUACCUGAGAAAAACCCAGAGAAGUAGUGUGUGCAAUUGACCAACAUUCGAACGACAGUUUCCCAAAAUACCUCAAUUUGUAUUCUUGAGUAGUGUAGAGAAGAUAUGUUUAUAUUUUGAGCUAAUAGAAUUGCAUGCUAGCUAGAGGCAGGCUAUGGAAUCUUGCAGAGUUAGUAUGAAAAUGUUGCUUGAUUUGGGAUACCUUAGCCUAGGAGUUCCUUCUUAUGGGAUUGAAUAUGUCUUUACUAUUUGGUUGGUGUAUGAUAUAUAGUUGUACAUAGUUAGGAUUUUGUAUCCUUAGAAUGUAUGAUUUGGCCUUUCUUCAUGUUCCUUGAUUGGUUGUGGAUUUGAGGUAGGAUCAUUGUUGAGUCUAAGAGGUUGCGUCACUGGGCUUGUUCUUAGGCCCAUUUUGUAUACUCGGUCUAAGCCUGUCCAACCGUGUUUUUUCUUUGGGGUUUAGUAUAAAUGGUGCAUGCAUGCAUUGUUUUAGUUACGCUUCUCAAUUAAUAUUUGAUUUAAUUCUAUUGUAACCCUAGCACACCUCUACAGUCAAAGUUCUUUAUCGAGUUCUUCUGAGGUGGAGCAUAUUAAUCAUUUAGCACCUGUUUGAUCCAUUCUCCUAUUCAUCAUUUUAUCUGUGUUUGUUUAUCUUUUAAAAAACUAUCGAGCUAAGAGAAUAAUAUUCUCUACAAUUGGUAUCAGAGCAGGAGACUAUGUAAUUCAUACGCAUCUCUUCUAUUGGAAGAAUCUUUUUAGGGUUUCCGCUUUUAUCAAAAUUGUUGGAGCCGUCAUCUCUUCAUUGAUUUGUUUCUUGAUUUUGAUAAAACCCUAAUUCAAACUUUACAAGUCUGGUUCAUAGCAAAUAUUUGAAAAAGGUCAUCAUGUCUCAUGAUGAUUCACAAACCAAUCCGAUAAAUAUCUCCAACAACAUUGGAUCUACAACUAGAAUUCUGAUUCUAUACACUCAAGAUUAUGAAGUCUGGAUGCAUCACUUUGAAGACUAUGUCGUUGGAUCUGAAGACAAUGGUUAUUUAAUAUGGGAAGUGAUAACUUUGGGUCCUUUUGUUCACUUUGGAACAAAUAGAAUCAUCAAGACUCAAAAGGAGUGUAAUAAGCUCUUGGCUUAUGUGAAUAAUAUUCCUCAAGACGAGAAAGACAAGUUGUCAUGUAGCAUCAAAGCUAUGAGAGUGAUCAGAUUUACUUUACAAUCUGAUACUUUUCGUUUGGUAAGUCCAUGCACCACGGAAAAAGAAAUAUGGGACAUACUCAAGGAGUUGUAUUCCACUGAUGAGGAUCUAGAGCAUUCAAUCCAAACUCUACUGCUUUCUGAGUUCGGUGCUUUCGAAUAAAAUUCGGAAGAAAAACUUAUUAAGGCAUUCGAUUGUUUCAACCAUAUUCUAAGCACGAUGAUCAAGCAUGGUAUUGGCAGAGAAGUGAUCGAGCAGAAGGUCACAAUUAUGAAUGGUUUAAGACCCAAAUGGAUGGCUGUGGUUUCGACUGUGAAGGCUCAAGAGAAGUUUAAAAGCUAUUCGUUAGCGAAGCUGGUAGCGAUCCUCAAGUCUCAUGAAAGUGUAGUAACAAAGGAAACGAAGGUGGUGUCUGGUAUCGGAUCCUUCGGCCUUCUCUCUAAGAAUAAGAAUGUGGCAAAAAAUGAAGAAGACUCAGAAUUGUCAGAAUGCGAUCUGACAAGUGAAGAAUAUGCUAUGAUGGUUUCCAACCCGAAGCGGUUUGCUCGUAAAAAGUUCCCUGACGCCAAAAACCGAAACUAGAAGGGAAGCUACAUCUCAUAGAAGGUGAAAGAGGAGAUCAGGAAUACUCCUUAGAAAGUAGAAGAGAAGAAGGAGAGAAAGCUGGUAGGAGACUCCGCAUAUGAUUGCAAAUUUUUCUAUUGCAAAAACCGCUUUGCCAAGGAUUGCAUGUAAACAAAGCUGUUAGAGAAAAAGGACAGUGAAGAUUAUGAACCUUACCAUAUGCGUAAGCCGGAGGUGAUAAAGAUGAAGAAAGCCUCUAAUAGUACUAUGAAUGCUUUGAUUGUGCAGGAGAACUUUGUUGAUGAUGAGUUCGAUGGUGUGGAGGUCUGGUCUACCAACUCUAAAGAUGAAGAAAUACGUAAACCCAUGCAUGGCAGGACUUUUGCGGUGAAGGAAUAUCGUGAAGAAUUAGCUGGCAGAUGCUUAAUGGUGAAUACUGGAGUGUCAUAGAUGAGAGGCUACACAACAGAUGGCAGGUGUGAUGAGGAGAAUCAGAAGGAACACAAGUGUAACAUCCAAAAUUUCAGAAAAAUUUAAACUUUUAAAGUCAUAUCGAGUUCAUCAAAAAAUUACAACAUUGUUUUCAAAACAUCUAUUAUCAGAUUCUUUCCCAGAAACAUAACAUGAUAGGAGGUGCUAUACGAUCACGCCUUAGCCUUGCUACAAUCCCCUGGUGUAUCUGAAACAAUAAACUGAAACUAUAAGCCCGAAAGCUUAUUGAGUUACCCCUAAAAUACCGAUACACAUACAGUCCACAUAACAUCAUUAACAUUAACAUAUCAUAUCAAUAAAGAUAGAAUAGCGUGCAUGGGGUCCACAGCUUUACAAGCUGGACGACCCCUAGGCCCUUAGUAUGAGUCUAGAAUGCCUACCGGGCCCUUAGCUCGUAUCUGGAAUGCCAUCGAGCCCUCAGUACGAGUCUGGAAUGCCUACCGGGCCCUCAGCUCAUAUUUGGAAUGCUCCCCAAUCCUCAGUAUGAGUCUGGAAUGCCUACCGGGCCCUCAACUUAUAUCUGGAAUACUCUUGAGUCCUCAGUGUGAGUCUGGAAUCCCUAUCGGGCCCUCGGCUCAUAUCUGGAAUACUCUCUAGUCCUCAGUGUGAGUCUGGAAUACCUACCGGGCCAUCAGCUCAAAUCUGGAAUACUCCAGGGUUUGCUGGCUACCGCACGAAGCAGUACAACCUCAACCCAUCCCACAUAACAUGUCGACAUGUAACGGAUAAAUGCACAUACAGGUAAUCAAUUAGUAUCACAGGCAGUCCUACAGAUCUACCCGACUAGCAUAUCAACUGGCAUACAUUACUAACUCAACUCAACAUAUCAAUGACUACUAGGAUAUCAAAUUCUAUGGGCCGGCCUUGGUGCCUUAGACCCCUUAGUAUAGUGAGGAUAACUCACCUGGCAGAUGUCAGCUCGGUAAACAAUCACAGCUCUCUGAUCACUUGCCCAACGCUCCACCACCUAUUACCAUAAUACGAUCAUGCUCAUAAGUAUCUACUCGUCGAGUCCCUUUAUGGACUCGGCGAGUAGAUCACUAAUUCCGUGAUCCCGUGUCGACUCUACUCAGCGAGUAGGGCAUCAUUUACUCGUCCAGUAGGGCUUAAAAACUAAUUAAAUUCUUAAUUUAAUACCUGGGAAUCGGGGUGUUACAUUCUACCCAACAUAUUAGUAGAUAAAAUAUACAUUUUUAUACACAGUUUAAAACCUGUAUAGCAUGUUCAUUCAAUACACAUUCCAAAUAACAGAUGAGACACCUAUACAUAACACAUAUUUCGUAGAGAAUAAAGCACAACUAUGAGUUAGAAGAAAGUGAAUAUACAUUCACACAUAUAAACAACAAUAUAUACACAUAGCACGUAUUUCAUAUCAAAUACUUCAUAAUUAUGCGUUAGAAGAAAUUAACCACACACUCACCUGAAAAGACGAUGAUCGGACCACGCCUCGUCAAUUAAGAUAAUCUUUUGUGAUGAAACCGGGACGUUUUCUCUAAAACCGGGCUUCACGCGGAUAGAGCUUCGACUCGGGAAUUUUACUUCUCUGGAUCUUCGAGGCUUCGGGACUUGCUUCAGGGCUCGGGAAUGAUACCGGGGCUUCGGGGUAUUUCUUGCACGUAAAUAAAGGCAAAAACGAGAGAGAAGGAAGAAUUCGAGCACUAAAACUCAGCAACCCUCUACAUCUAUUUAUAGGGUGUUGAAACUCGUGUUACGAUGGGCGUAAUCUCAGAGUACGCUGGGCGUACUCCCUCUAUGAUCUGUAUGCAAGGCGUACAAAGCACUACACUACGCGUAGUUCGGAUCAGGUCGGAGUCGUCAUCGCUUACGAACUCGGAACACUCGAGUGGUUCAUGCAUCAGGGUACCCUGGGCGUACCGAGGUCCUACACUGAGCGUAUUUCAGAUCGGAUCAGUGACUCCUUUGGACAUUAUCCGAAAUAAAAAUUAAAUAAAUAUAUUUUAAUUAUUUAAAAAAUUUAGAAAAUCAUAUCUUCCUCAUACGAACUCCGUUUUUGACGAUCUUUAUAUCCAUGCGUAGGUGAGACUAAGAUCGACAACUUUCAUUUACACUUAGUCGGCUGAUUUCGACUUUUAUUUUUAUUAUAUUAUUUUUAGUAGGCCGAGACAGAAAAAAUCCAUUAUAAAUUCAUAACUUCUUCAUCCGACAUCCAUUUCCGUCUGUCUUUUUACCGUUGCACUACUAAUAAUGAGAUCUUCGAUUCUCGUUUAGAUUGUUUCGGCUAGACAUCACUCAAUCUCAUAAUCGAACUUCGGGUUGCAUACUACUAAGCUGAAACAUAGAAAAAUCCUAACUCCCUCAUAAGAAGUCAGAUUUGGGCAUUCUUUUUAUGCAAGCUCUCGGUUUAACGAACUCUACGACUUUCGUUUAGAUCACUAAGGCUAAAUGCCGCUCCAUCGUAAAUUCACUUUUUUUACGUUAUUCAGUGUCGUGCCAGUUCUGUCGCGAAACUUCAACAUAUCAUAACUUUUUCGUUAUAACUCGGAUUUUGGCAUUAUUUAUAUAUCCGGAAUCCUAGUUUCAACCACUACAACUUUAUUCAUAGAUAUCGACGUUAUUUAAUAUUCAUUUUGAUGAUAAUUUUUUAUCGUUAACUCAAUUAAGCCACACAACUAAGCAUAACACACAUAUACUCAAAUAAUACAUUUUUAUUAUUUCAAAACAAGUUACAAAAGUUAACCUAGACUAUUACAUUAAUAUUAAUGACGAGCCCAGAAACAUAGGCGUUACAAAAUGCUAACCUAACCGAUAAAAUUAGCAGUGUGACAUCCAAGAGUGAGGAGUGAAGGAUGUGGAUACAGAAGACGGAGUUAGAGUUAGUUAGAGCAAGAGAUUAGUUGAUAUAUUUGCAACGUGACAAUUUGAAGUUUUUAAAACAAAGGAAUAUUUUUUGUUUGAUUGCUAAACGUCUUUAUUCAAAUAUCACUACUAGAAAAUUGCCCUUUAAUGACGCGCAAACAAUGACACUCGCUGAUAGAGGACCCGUAUUUGUGCGUGCCCUAAAAAAUAAUGUCAAUUUUGCAAAAUAUGAAGGAUAGUGGACACGUAUUUGUGCGUGUUCUAAAAUUAGUGUCAGAAAAGAAAAACAUGGAAAUGCGGAGGGCACCUUUCAUAAAAUGUGUGCCAUCUAAGUGUGUCGCUUUAUAAUUUUUAAUGAAACAUGCGUUUUAAGCGGGAUUUCACCCACCUAUUGGAUCCCAAAAAUUAAACCCCCUGCCUCUUCCAAUUAGCAAGAAAAAGCCCUAGGGCCUUCGUCUUCAUAGCAUAAUUGCUUUUGCUUUCGUGAUCGAAUCCCUCACGACGACAAUUGUUUGGAUGUUUCCAAUCAUUUUCUCAGUGUUGUAAGCCAUUAUAGGGGCUGGUGUUAUGCAUUUUCUUUACUCAUUGACUGAUACGCAUUCUGCAACCAGGGAGCUGAACUCAUAGAGUCGGCGAUUGGGGUCUAUGACUCCUCACACUCAAAACGCCGGUGAUUUUAAGGUUUUUUUUAUCCCCGAUAUCAAAGAAGGACAACGGAUUUUAUGUUCUAGACCUUACAAGUGUGCACCUAAGAACUAGCGCUUUUAUAUCAGCGUGUUCAGGUGGAACAACGAUAUCCGCUCUUCCUUCUCGAAAGUUCAGUUGUAGGGUUUCGAAACUAUAGGGAUCAAUUUAGAGGUUAAAGAUAAGAAAUCGAAGGUUGAAGGUCAGAUUUGGGAUUAGAAGUUGGAUGUUCAUGGUCAGAUUGGAAGUAUCGGAAAUUAGGAAACGAAAAUGGAAGAGGCACCAGGUUUGAAUAUCAUUCUCUUCUUCUUAAUGUAUGUACCCUAGGUUAAUUUCUCUUACUUUAUCAUUUUAUUAUAUUAAUUUGGGGCUCUCUGCAUUUUCACAUACGUCUCUCCUCUCAUUCUACGUAACCUUAAACAAGCAAGGAAGAAUUUAAGGCUUAUUCGGUGUUCUUUAUAUAUUAUUCACUUUCUUUUCAUCAGGGUUUCUCGUAAUAUCCAUUCUUUCCUCUUCAUCUUUUCAUUUGUUUCUUUUUUUUGUAAAACUUGAUUUUCUCUGUUUUAGGAAUUGUAAUAGUUGCAUUUGGACUUCAAAAAUGAGGAAUUUGUUUUUAUGCCCUUAUCUGACUUCAUUGGAAUGUUCCUUAUCUGAGGAAUUGGAAAAAUAUUGGGAUUCAUGGUCAAAAAGGUAAUGGUGAUAAUGGCUAACCAUUUUAAUCCUAGGUGGAGAAGGUUUCUGGCUAUUUGGUUGAAAAUUAUGGUCUUUGGUUUGCAGGGAUUCUAGGUCUGCUAUCAUCUUUUAACUCUUUAUUUUACUCUAUUUCUUUAAGGAUUAUUUGUUACUGAGACGUGAUUUUUAGCUGUAAAUUACAAAUAAUGUAUGAACCAAUGUUUUUAUUUCAUUGUUUUUCUUGUCAUUGGGUUUCCAAUAAUACUCUGUCGUCUUCUUCAUCUCUUAGGAUUUCCAGUGUUUUUUCUGUCAAAUCUGAUUUCCAGUGUUAUUUUUAUGUUUUUAUAUUUAUUUUUUUAAUUAUCUUUAGAUUAUAGAAUUUGAAGAAGAGAAAAAGGGAUUGAUAACAAAACUACAGGUAAUUAAAUUCUUUACCCUUGUGGCUGUGAGUAAUCUUUGCCUUUUAAAAUAGUUUUCUCAAAUUUUUAUUGAUUUUAUAACUUUUUUUAGGUUAAAGGGAAGAUCUGCUUGGUACCUGACAAGUGUAUGUAUAUCAAGUCAAGUUGUAGAACUUUAUUUGUACGUGAUCAUAUGACUUUCUCUACUACUAUCUUAUUGCGUGCUUUGUUUCUUUCAGGAUGAGAGGUUGGUAUCUAUAACAUUUGUAGUUAAGCUUAUUUCUGGGAAUCAUUUCUAGUUAUUUGAUUUAAACUUUUCCACCUUUACAGGAUUUACUUUUAUGAGUUGUGUGUGGUUAUAGAAUUAGGGUGUGUUUGGGAAUAUAAAAUACUCCAAAAAGACUUUUUGACCACUUUGCCUAAUAGACCUAAAAGCAACGCUUUUGUUUCCUGGAUACAUAUUUAACCUGCAUUUUAUUCUAACGCCUUCAUCUGCUUCCCUUUCAUUGACUGUGCCUCUUUAUUCCUCCCUCUUGCUACCGCCUCCGACGUCCCUUCUAGCCUUCACUCUUCACCGGCCUUUUCUCCUCGCUGCCACCUCCGUUGCUCCAUGCCGCCACCUCCGUCGCUGCACUCUGCCGGUAUAUAUAUUAUGCCCUUUUCUCUUUUAAUCCUAGUUUUUUCCCAAAUCUUUCUCCAUCCUCAUUUUGAUGCUUUGUGGUUGAACAUUACUUGUUUUAGAUCAUUGUGCACAAUUUGAAGUCUCAUGCUGAGUCACAUAUGGAAAAUUUAUAAAAUCUGCUAUAAGUACCCAAAAAAAACUCCAAAAUCUGUUCUAUGUACACACAUGUUAAGUGUCACCUUGAGUUUUCAAGUGAAUAUUACAUAUUCUUGAGUUUUUUAUCUAUUGUGUAAGAUUUUUUCCAAGGUUAAAGUUAGUUAAAAUAAAUAACAUUUUUAUAUUCAUAAUAGAAAUGUUUUUUUUUUAAUUUUGUUAUUGAUUUUUGUAGGGUGAUUUGAACAGACUUUUUGUUACAGUCUAAACUGAUUGUUCUUAAUCUUGGGAGUCUCUGUAUUUAUGGAAGUAUGGUUUAUUGUAACAUAAAUCCUAUUUCUCUACUUAUUUUCUUUUCAAUAAUACCUUUUACUUCUUAAUAAUGAGAUUCAUAGAAGAAUUCUAUGUGGUACUACUUUAAUUUCUAUGUGAGGAAAUGACUCAGCACACUAGGAAAUCAACUAGGAUGUUCAGAAAAUAUCAUAUAUUUUCUACUUAUGUAUUCAGCUGACUUUUGAUCCGAUCUGAACCACAUUGAUUAAGCAGUAUGACUCACUUCUUGCGAUUAUUUAUUAAGAGGGUUUUCCAUUUAUAGCAUUUAUGCCUAGUUAAAAAUUUGAUAAUUUGUGAAGCCCUUUGUGCUGUUGAUUAUUUACUAUUGAUAAACUAUAGUAUAUCUAAUCUACCAUCAUGUCCACUAGAGUAAAAAGGGAUGCCAAUUUAGUAUAUUGGCUGCUAAAAUUAACCCAUGGUCUUAUGAUCUUUAUAACUUGUUACUUGUCAGUGGUCCAGUGUUAACAACUGAUUUGCAAAAAGCUAAUGCUAUUGCUGAUUGGCGUGGUCAUAUCAUGUUGUAUUCUUGUGAUUCAAGCCUGAAAACUUUGUGUCACUGACACAACUAAUUAAUGAAAGUUUUUACCUUUCAUGGUGGUGUGUUGUUAUUUAAAUUUUUGUCUUGUAUAACAUCAGGGCCAUGUGUAGGCAGGAUUUGGAGCGGAAUUGAGUUCAUGGUUCAAUUCAUGUGAGUCGGUUGCAAGGAAAAUUUCUUUUUUCUUCACAGAGACAUUUUCAGGUUAAACUAUCAUCAUAAGUUAAUGUUUCCAUGUUAAUGGCUUAUGGUGUUAUUAUAUUAUAAGUUUACAACUAAACAAUACUUGAUAGAAAUAUGAGUAUCUCACAUAAUAAGGGCAAUUGAGUCUUUCUACAUACACGAGUGACUGAGAUAUGUGAAAUGAAUUAAUAAUUGGAUAUUAGAAGACACUUAUUUCCAAAAAAUGAAUUGUUGAUCCAUUUUAAGGAAAUUGAUGGUUGAAUGUAUAGGCCAAGAUAGAAAAGAGACAAAAGAUAUGACUGGAAAAGGUCAAUAAAUUAUAGAACAAUCAAUUGGACUAAUAGUAAAUGUCUUUUAUAAUGGCCUUUAACGGAUUUAUCUUACCUUGUUUGUUGCUCUGUGUUUGAAGUAAGUUUCUUAGCAAGUAUUAAGCUUAAUGACUCAUUGCUACAACCAUUACAAAGAGCACAACCAUUCUUCGUGCUAGCUGGUCCCAAUGUGAUUGAAUCUGAAGAACAUAUUUUACAUAUGGCCAAACAAAUCAAGGCUAACACUUCAAAGUAUGUUCUUUAUUCUUAUAUCUGUAAUAUGUAAAUAAGCAUAUAUGUUUGAGUUUGACAGAUAUAAUACAAAUCAUGUUGCUUUCUUUUUCUUUUUGUUUUUGUUUUUGUUUUUUUUUCAGACUUGGAUUGCCAUUAGUUUUUAAGUCAAGCUUUGACAAAGCUAACAAAACCUCAUCAAAAUCUUUUCGUGCUCCUUCAAAGUGAAUCAUCUUGGAGCUGAGAAAAUAGUAAGAGAAAAGGUUCAUUUAUUUUUCUCACACCCCCGAACCAGACGGCGGAAACGUCAGGGGGCUGUUGUGACUCAAUUGAAUACCAUCACAAUGAAUAUACAUGAAACAUAACAUCAUACAUCACCAAACAUUGGAAUAUUACAACUGGUAGCGUUUACAUUUAGUACAUUGUUCCCUAACAUUACAUGCCCAAAAAGUAGAUUGUUCGGUACUAAUUAAACAAGCAGCAAAACGUCACUGAGUACACUUAUCCCUUCGAUUUAUCUGUUACCUGAGAAUACAAGUAUUUUGAAAAACGUCAACAUAUGAAAUGUUGGUGAGUUCAUAAGUAAUGUUUGAAAUCCAAUGUUUGUAUUGUUUCGAAAACCACCAGAAAAUCCGAUAUUUUCUGAAAAAAAGUAUAGUGUAAAAAGUGUGAAGAUCCGUAAGUAUGCUUGUUUGUUUUCUAUAGAUGUAAGCGUACGAUUUGUAAAACUCGGUAUGUAGUUCGUAGGUGUAUUAGUUGAAAACCCUAGGAAAACCCGACGUUUUCCUAUCACUUUACUUUAAUUAGUUUAUGUGUUGUUAAUUUGUUACGAUAGGGGUAUUCGUUGAGCUAAGGAGACGUUGGAUUAAUAGUGGAUUGUGAAUUGUUGUAACGUACAUUAAUGAAAACGAACAGUUGACAACCGUACAAACGAUCCGUUAGGCGUCGCUUGCACUUAUUCACUUAACCCAACCCCCCGGACUCAUGUAGCCCCACGACCGAGGGGAAAAAGAAGGUGCGAAGCCCCCGGUAUUUCCCUACGUCGUUCAAGGCUAUAGUGAAUGCGAAGGGCCCUUAGCCCAACUCGCAUUGGUGAAUUCUCGACUUCGCUAGCAGUACCGAAGGACCCUUGGGGACCAGCAGCACGUUUGCCAUUGAAAGUCCUUUUACACGGAAUUAAGUCGUAUUAGACCCAACUACAUGUAAGCAAAUUUCCUUCGGGCCUAAAGAUCAUGUCAUUGGGCUAGCUAGGCCCAACAAGCAUGAUUUGAAACUUUUGGGCCCAAGGACGGAGUGUCGACGUCUAGUGUGUUUCCGCGUGUGUAUAGAGUUUCCGAGAGUUCCAUGUGCGUAUUGACGUAUCGUAGCGUUAGUAAUUUCGGAUUUGUUAUUGAUUCGAGACCGAAUCAAUUCGUUCGAUAACGAUUGUUGGUAUUGUAGGUGUAUUGUAAUUUGCCGAGAGUCGAGAUACUAGCGUUUCAUCGUGUCGGAUUCGUGUUUGUUAUUGUUUUGUUUAUUUUGGCUUUGAUUAUUUACAUGAUUGAUAUCUAAAGCCCACUUCUUGUAAAAUGAUGCUCUUGGCCCAAUAAGCCAAAAUUUUAGGAUUAAGGCCCAAUUUUUGUAAGAAUGACACUUUGGUCUCCAUUUUGUUCAAAACUUGUUUUGAUAACUAUUUUGUAGUAAAAACAACAUUUUGAAACCCCUUUUUGUCAAAAAUAACAUUCUUAGCUUGAGUUUUGUGAAAACGCACAUUUUCUGGUUUUUGAACUUUUCCGACCUAGUUGUUUGAAAAUUUGUAGAAAAAUCAUCGUAAGUCGAAAUUUGGAUCCGUAAACUCUCAAAGUUUAGAAAUUUUGUCUACUUUGUUCCAAAAUUUUCUCAUAAUUUUUAAUGGCUUCUAACAAGUGUGAAAUUGUUCAUCUUCACAGGUUGGUCCGAUAUUAUUUCAAAUAUGAUAGGCUGUUUUGAAAAAUUCGCCAAAAAUUGUAGAAAAAUCAUAUGAAAACGUGCGAGUAGUCAUUUUAAAGGUAUGAACCUGAAACUUAUCCAUGUAAAACAGUUUUGAAAAAUACUUCCAUUUGGAUGGUCAAAACAGUCUGAGAUUGGACCAAAACUUUCCUGUCAAGGGCUGUUUAGUGAGUUUAGCUUAUAGAUCUUUGAAUACAACACUCAUUUUUGCUAUUUCAAGUGUACAAAUCCCAGAUCUAAAAGUUUAAAUGCAUUAUAUGUGAUAAAACAUACUUUUCUCAUGAUUCAUACGGAGAUCCUAGUGAUACACUUCAAGUUUCUUAACAUAUUUUUAGAUUAGUGAAGAAAUCAACACAUAAUCACCAUAUGUUUCAAGAAAACACACAUAAUCAUGCAUAAAUACAUAGAUCUACACAUAUGACUUGUAUUCUCCCCCCCAAAACAAGUGAAAACAGAAAUCAAGGGGGUAUGAACUCACCUUGAAGAUUCCAAGUGGUAGAAUGAGAAGAAGGAGUUGUUGGACCUAGCUUGGUGUAGUUUUUGAAGAUCACUCGAAAUUUGAUGGAGUUCUAGAGUCAUACACACGAAAAUGGUGGGUGCAUGGAGUGAUCUUAAGAAUAAACAUGAAACAAACACUUUGAGUUUCAUAAAGAUCUUACGUAGUUUGUGAGUUUUGAAGAAGGAUUCUUGAGGAUGACUCCUUCCUUGAAGAUGAUCUUGAAUAUUUUGAGGGAGAAUAGGAGGACUUGAGAGUGUUUGGAGAGUAAAUUGGAAAUUGAUUUUUGUGAGUGUGUGUGAUGUGUUGUGGCCGAGAGUUUAAGGUGGGGGUUAGGAAGGAUUGGUUAAAUGGUUAUUACAUGAAAGUUUAACAUCUUCAACCUAGAUAUAUGGGGGAUUUUUGCAUGGAUAUACAACAUAUAUUAAUGAGGUGUUAAGUAUUAGAAAAAUCCCAUUCUCUUUUUUUUUUUGUAUAAAUAUUAACACAUUGGGCCGAGAAUGGGCUCAAUGAAUGAAGGUGAAAUAGCUUUGGGCUCAAAUCCAUGGCUUAGAUUGAAUUUCAUAAGCCUAAUAAUAUUUUUCGGCCCAUUGGGCCCUUAUUAAGGGUCUCGGCCCAAUAAGGUCCAUGAGAAAGGUGUGGGGCAUUUUAGGCCCAUUAAAGCCCAAAAUACUAUAUCUUAAUGAAUGUGAGUUCAAAUAGGGCCCAAUUAGGGUUUCUAGGCCCAAGAUAGUCAACUUGAAGGUUUAUUGGUCCAUUAGGCCCAAUAAGAGAAUCCUAGGCCAUAGUGAACUUGAAAUGGGAUAUCUAGGGUUUCCAACCCUUAUUUGAGCAUAUGAGAUAUAUUUGAAUGAGAAUGGAGUAUAGUAUUCACUUAGAGUAUAGGCUCUUACAAUGGAUGAUGUUUAUAUGAGAAUAGAAUUUCCUAGCAAGAUGCCAGUUGUGACAUCAUCCUCCCGUUAGAGGGAAUUUCGUCCCGAAAUUCUUUCGAAAGGUAGGUUCAUGAAUGAGAGAGUAGGUACUUCAUCUGAUCUUCGCGUUUCCCAUGUGAAUUUCGGUCCACGCUUAGCGUUCCAUCGAAGCUUCACAAUCAAAAUGUGGCUUUGUUUUGUAUGCUCUACUUCCCUAUCUAAAACACCUCGACUGGUUCUUUGACGAACAUGUGAUUCUCAUUUAUUUCGAUUUAUUGUAAAGGAAUGAUAAGAGUCUCAUAUGAUAUGCAUCUUUUCAGAUUCGAGACACGGAACACAGGGUCUACGUUUCUGAGCUCUACUGGUAGCUGCAGCCUAUAAGUCUUUGCACCAAUCCGAUCAAGAAUAUCGAACAGUCCAAUGUAUCGCGGGUUCAGUUUUCUCGUUUCCUAAAGUGAAUCACUCCUUUCCAAGGAGGUUCUUUUAAUCACACGCGAUCCCCGACAUGACAUCCUAAUGGCUUACGCCGCUUGUCAGCAUAGCUCUUCGGUCGGUCUUGCGAUGCUUGAAGUUAAGCUUUGAUUUGGAUUAUCUUCUCUGUUGUUUUGCAAAUGGUUUCUGGGCUCAUGUUAGUACUGGCGAGUGAUCUGCAUUUAUGACUAUAAGGAAGCCUCGAAAAGAGCAACCCUGAUGCUUGUGCGAUAGCUGGUAUUGUAGGGGAAUCCAAUCAUGGGCAAUCGGGUAUCCCAUGACUUGCCGAAUUCAGAUUCCCAGACUUGUCACAUGAAUUCGAGUGGUUGAAUGGUUCGUUUGCUUUGGCUAUUGGUUUGAGGGUGGUAAGCAACGCUCAUUCUUAGCUAUGUUCCCAUAGCCUUCUCAAAUGACUGUCAAAGUCUCGAAGAAAUCCUGUUACCUCGAUCCGAGAUAGUAGAUACCGAUAUUUCAUAGAGUCUCACGAUCUCCUUGAUAUAGAUGCAUGUAAAUCUUUCUGUCUUGUUUGAUUUUAGUAUUAGCAGGAAAUAGGCAGUUUGGGUUAACCUAUCGAUGAUCACCCAAAUAACGCCCAAUUUAACUUGCGUACCUAUAAGCUUUGUCUUUCAACUUCGAGAGUUUUAUCCAUCCAUGCAGUGCUUUCUUCGCGAUAUUCUCCGGCUUCGAUGCUUUCAAGGCUGGUAGUAGGUGUUGACAGUGUUUCGUUCUCGCUUCGUGGGCAGACGAGUAUGUUAUUGAUGAAAAUAAUGAAAAGGAAUGGUUGGGAAGACUUGGUUCGUAGGGUCCAUGAAUAGUGUGGGAGCAUUCGUUAGACCGAAGGGUAUCAUAAUGAAUUUGAAAUGGUCGUGACGAGUUCGGAAGGCAGUUUUUGAAAUGUCGCUUUCUCGGACUCGAAGUUGAUGAUAACCGAUUCUUAUAUCUAUUUUUAAGGAGUAACGAGCUCCUUGGAGCUGGCCAAAUAGAUCGUCAGUCCGAGGAAGUGGGUAUCGAUUUGAUAGGGNCUUAUUCAAUUUCCUAAAAUCGAUGUACCUUCCGAAGGAUCCGUCUUCUUGAAGAACAAGACCGGAGCAUCUCCAAGGUGAGAAGCUUGGUCUGAUGAAUCCUUCGCUCGGAAAUUUUCUUGAUUGCCUGGAUAACUUCUGAAUUUCAGCGGAAGCUAACCUAUAGGGUGAAUUGGCGAUUGACGUUGUUCCCUGUACGAGGUUGAUUCGAAAUUCGACCUGUCUCUCUGGGAUAUUCCCGAAAGUUCUUUGGGGAACACAUUUGGAAAAAAUCACAUGUUACUGGAAUACCUUGUAUGCCUACCUCUUCUUUGGUCUUGUCCACAACAUGAGUGAGGAAAAUGUAGUCUUCUGGUGCAGGCACUUCUAUGCCUUGAUGCACGAGAUAGGAAAAGUAUUGGUGCCAGGUUUAUCACCAUGGAUUAUUAGAGUUUUCAUGAUUAGGAAGGUGAAGGAAAACGGCCUUCUCGCGACACAUAGUAUCAGUACGGUGGGGGCUUAACCCAACCAUGACGAUUAUCACAUUAAAACUCCUAAUAUUUACUAGCAUGAACUCUAUUUGUAAUGAAUGGUUGUUUAGUGUUAAGGUGUACUCCACAUAAGUACCCUAGGUUAAAUCGGUUUUCCCCACUGGCCAUGUCCAUUGAAAAGGCUUAGCUUAGCUUUGGGGAUGUUGUUUUUGUAAGUGUUUGAGUAUGUUACUAACGAAACUUCGCUCAGAUUUACCAUUGAAUAAGAGGUAAACGAAAGAGUUGUCAAGCGGGAACGUACCAGUAACAACCGUUGGGUCUUGGAUUGAUUCGCCUUGACCUAAGGUCAGGACCAUUUCUGAUCCUUCUGCUCCUUGAUUGUUAUCCCUAGGGAAAUUGCGCCUGAUGUGACCAGUUCCUCCAUACCUAUAGUAGGUGUGACUGGUCUCAUCAUUGGUGUUGUUGUUAGGGUUGUUGCGAUUGUUGUCGUUUUCAUUUGGCUGACGAUUCUGGCAUGGAUAAGUUCUACAGAAUUUGGUGAUGUGAUUCUUUCGGUUGCAUUUGUUACAAUGCAUCUCCCUGCAGGCUCCAUUAUGAUGGAAUUUGCACUGGUUGCAUUUUGGAAGGUUUCCAGCAUAUGGUCUCCUGGUUGCUGGUGUAAUAGGGGUCGUGGUCGCAUGAACAGCAACAACAUGUUGCUCCCUUGAGAACCCUUGAGUGUGUCGCCCCUUUCUCUUACUUCCAGACCUCAGCUUCCUGCUCUUGAGCUUGGGGUUUGGAGUUCCUUGACAGGUUGUCACUUGUUGGUUUCCAUGUUUGUUCCUUUGGCUGGAGUCGUAAAUGCUAUUCCCGUCUCCAUUAGGGUUGUUUGCAUUGAUUUGUGUCAUAGCAACGGUUACUGCUGCCAUUACAGCAGCUUGAAAUGUAGCAGAGUCCAUCUGCAGGAGUGGUGUCUCGCGGGUGCGCUUGUUAUUCUUGCGGGAUGGCAUUUUCCUGAUGCACGUUGAUAAUCCAGAUUGUAAGUAAUGAUCGUCAUUCCUGGUUGUACUCUAUAAAUUUUGCAUCUUGUUGUAUACUUCUUACUGCUUCCAUCUACAUCCCUAUGAUGUAUUUGUGGUAGUAAGUAAUCACAGAUUUGGCGCGAUUGUUACGUCUAUCCUUAGAAUAUAUGGGUUGUUUUGGUUUCGAGAUCCUUAAGUAUCUAGUGGUCUCGAGGGUUCGCUUGUGCAUAUAAUUGAGUCUUUGUAGCAAUAUGAAAUAAAUAUAACACAUAAUUGUUUCAGGGGUAAGUACCAUCUUAGUACACGAAAGAGAGUCAUGUCGGAUAGUAGGGGGAACUAGAAAAGGCCGAUCCUAAUCGUGGCGGGAAGUGUCUGGUGGUGGUGCUGGUGAAGUGGAUGCACCUCGGAGACGAGCUACUUGUUGGUCGGUAUCUCGUAGGCGUACCCCCCCCCCUCCCAAACUAACUGUCUCGCUCGAGAGUCUCCAUUCACUUCCUGUGUUUGCCUCUCAUCCCUCUCAAUAGCAAACCACAUUUGUUCCGUUCGAUUUGGGGUGUCCUGAGCUUGGUUAUCAAUACCUUGGGUGCGUCGUACCAUGAUUGGGAGGGCCUGGUCAGCUGGUCCUCUAUGGCUAAUGGUCGGAGAGACCUCGGUUCCUAUCCUAGUGUGAUCGUAUCCCCUGCUGGCGACUCUAUCUCCAAAUUUCGUAAGUCCAGGGGGGCAUGGGGCCACCGGGGCCCAAACGAUAAGUCGGUACUCUGGCUUUUCAUGGAUGAUUGAUGACAUCAGAUUCUACAUCCGAGUCAUCAUCAUCAUUGCCCUUGGGCUCUUCCUCUUCGAGGUCCACUAUUGACUCAGCGGGUUCACCUGUGAGUUCUACUUCAUGUUCCUCCUGUGGUUCUUCCUCUGGGUCGAGCCACCCUACUUUUCCUUGACUAGGGAGAUAGGGUUUCCUGACUAAUGAUACUUGUCUAUAGCGUAUUGCACGAAGGGCUAUGAAUACUAGAAUCAAAUAGCAUACCAAUUACUCCUAUAAUCCUACAACUAUUGCAUAGAUUUAGUUGGGGUUCCCUUCUUGGGGAUUAAGGGGUAUGUUUUUAGAUUCCCUAGCUAUCACGACUUCUUCAAGACAUGUGAUGGUUGUACCUUGGAGGGAAUGUAGUUGAUCAGGCUACAUCCACUCCUUGAUACAACUAAGAACAGUCUUGGAUUAACCAGGAUACUAGCAUUAUCUUGUUUUGUUCGGUGUUAGGUUCUCGUUCCUAAUACAAGAAAGGGUGUUUUAUUGUUAUGUUUUACUUGUUUUGUUCAGAGUUAUGUUAGUCCCUCUUUUGGUUUAUAGUUGCAUAUCAAUGUAUGGUUAGAUAUGCUAGUUCACUAUAAACAGAGCUCUGAUACCAACCUGUCACACCCCCGAACCAGACGGCGGAAACGUCCGGGGGCUGUCGUGACUCAAUUGAAUACCAUCACAAUGAAUAUACAUGAAACAUAACAUCAUACAAUACCAAGCAUUGGAAUAUUACAACUGGUAGCGUUUACAUUCAGUACAUAGUUUCAAAAUAUUACAUUCCCAAAAGUAAAUUGUUCGAUAUUAAUUAAACAACAGCAAAACGUCAUAGAGUACAAUUCUUCCUUCACUUUAUCUGUUACCUGAGAAUACAAGUAUUUUGAAAAACGUCAACAUAUGAAAUGUUGGUGAGUUCAUAAGUAAUGUUUGAAAUCCAAUGUUUUGUAUUGUUUUGAAAACCACCAGAAAAUCCGAUAUUUUCUGAAAAUAGUAUAGUGUAAAAAGUGUGAAGAUCCGUAAGUAUGCUUGUUUGUUUUCUAUAGAUGUAAGCGUACGAUUUGUAAAACUCGGUAUGUAGUUCGUAGGUGUAUUAGUUGAAAACCCUAGGAAAACCCGACGUUUUCCUAUCACUUUACUUUAAUUAGUUUAUGUGUUGUUAAUUUGUUACGAUAGGGGUAUUCGUUGAGCUAAGGAGACGUUGGAUUAAUAGUGGAUUGUGAAUUGUUGUAACGUACAUUAAUGAAAACGACCAGUUGACAACUGUACAAACGAUCCCUUAGGUGUCGCUUGCACUUAUUCACUUAACCCAACCCCCCGGACUCAUGUAGCCCCACGACCGAGGGGAAAAAGAAGGUGCGAAACCCCCGGUAUUUCCCUACGUCGUUCAAGGCUAUAGUGAAUGCGAAGGGCCCUUAGCCCAACUCGCAAUAGUGAAUUCUCGACUUCGCUAGCAGUACCGAAGUACCAUUGGGGACCAGCAACACGUUUGCCAUUAAAAGUCCUUUUACACGGAAUUAAGUCGUUUUAGACCCAACUACAUGUAAGUAAAUUUCCUUCGGGCCUAAAGAUCAUGUCAUUGGGAUAGCUAGGCCCAACAAGCAUGAUUUGAAACUUUUGGGCCCAAGGACGGAGUGUCGAUGUCUAGUGUAUUUCCACGUGUGUAUAGAGUGUCUGAGAGUUCCAUGUGUGUAUUGGCGUAUCGUAGCGUUAGUAAUUUCGGAUUUGUUAUUGAUUCGAGACCGAAUCAAUUCGUUCGAUAACGAUUGUUGGUAUUGUAGGUGUAUUGUAAUUUGCCGAGAGUCGAGAUACUAGCGUUUCAUCGUGUCGGAUUCGUGUUUGUUAUUGUUUUGUUUAUUUUGGCUUUGAUUAUUUACAUGAUUGAUAUCUAAAGCCCACUUCUUGUAAAAUGAUGCUCUUGGCCCAAUAAGCCAAAAUUUUAGGAUUAAGGCCCAAUUUUUGUAAGAAUAACACUUUGGUCUCCAUUUUGUUCAAAACUUGUUUUGAUAACUAUUUUGUAGUAAAAACAACAUUUUGAAACCCCUUUUUGUCAAAAAUAACAUUCUUAGCUUGAUUUUUGUGAAAACGCACAUUUUCUGGUUUUUGAACUUUUCCGACCUAGUUGUUUGAAAAUUUGUAGAAAAAUCAUCGUAAGUCGAAAUUUGGAUCCGUAAACUCUCAAAGUUUAGAAAUUUUGUCUACUUUGUUCCAAAAUUUUCUCAUAAUUUUUAAUGGCUUCUAACAAGUGGGAAAUUGCUCACCUUCACAGGUUGGUCCGAAAUUAUUUCAAAUAUGAUAGGCUGUUUUGAAAAAUUCGCCAAAAAAUAUAGAAAAAUCAUAUGAAAACGUGCGAGUAGUCAUUUUAAAGGUAUAAACCUGAAACUUACCCAUGUAAAACAGUUUUGAAAAAUACUUCCAUUUGGAUGGUCAAAACAGUCCGAGAUUGGACCAAAACUUUCCUGUCAAGGGCUGUUUUGUGAGUUUAGCUUAUAGAUCUUUGAAUACAACACUCAUUUUUGCUAUUUCAAGUGGACAAAUCCCAGAUCUAAAAGUUUAAAUGCAUUAUAUGUGAUAAAAACAUACUUUUCUCAUGAUUCAUAUGGAGAUCCUAGUGAUACACUUCAAGUUUCUUAACAUAUUUUUAGAUUAGUGAAGAAAUCAACACAUAAUCACCAUAUGUUUCAAGAAAACACACAUAAUCAUGCAUAAAUACAUAGAUCUACACAUAUGACUUGUAUUCUCCCCCCCAAAACAAGUGAAAACAGAAAUCAAGGGGGUAUGAACUCACCUUGAAGAUUCCAAGUGGUAGAAUGAGAAGAAGGAGUUGUUGGACCUAGCUUGGUGUAGUUUUUGAAGAUCACUCGAAAUUUGAUGGAGUUCUAGAGUCAUACACACGAAAAUGGUGGGUGCAUGGAGUGAUCUUAAGAAUAAACAUGAAACAAACACUUUGAGUUUCAUAAAGAUCUUACGUAGUUUGUGAGUUUUGAAGAAGGAUUCUUGAGGAUGACUCCUUCCUUGAAGAUGAUCUUGAAUAUUUUGAGGGAGAAUAGGAGGACUUGAGAGUGUUUGGAGAGUAAAUUGGAAAUUGAUUUUUGUGAGUGUGUGUGAUGUGUUGUGGCCGAGAGUUUAAGGUGGGGGUUAGGAAGGAUUGGUUAAAUGGUUAUUACAUGAAAGUUUAACAUCUUCAACCUAGAUAUAUGGGGGAUUUUUGCAUGGAUAUACAACAUAUAUUAAUGAGGUGUUAAGUAUUAGAAAAAUCCCAUUUCUUUUCUGUUUUUUUUUUGUAUAAAUAUUAACACAUUGGGCCGAGAAUGGGCUCAAUGAAUGAAGGUGAAAUAGCUUUGGGCUCAAAUCCUUGGCUUAGAUUGAAUUUCAUAGGCCUAAUAAUAUUUUUCGACCCAUUGGGCCCUUAUUAAGGGUCUCGGCCCAAUAAGGUCCAUGAGAAAGGUGUGGGGCAUUUUAGGCCCAUUAAAGCCCAAAAUACUAUAUCUUAAUGAAUGUGAGUUCAAAUAGGGCCCAAUUAGGGUUUCUAGGCCCAAGAUAGUCAACUUGAAGGUUUAUUGGUCCAUUAGGCCCAAUAAGAGAAUCCUAGGCCAUAGUGAACUUGAAAUGGGAUAUCUAGGGUUUCCAACCCUUAUUUGAGCAUAUGAGAUAUAUUUGAAUGAGAAUGGAGUAUAGUAUUCACUUAGAGUAUAGGCUCUUACAAUGGAUGAUGUUUAUAUUAGAAUAGAAUUUCCUAGCAAGAUGCCAGUUGUGCCAAUUUUGACCUGUUAACAAAAUGAUAACCUUUUAAUGUUUAUAGAAUGGAAAUUGUCUUAAGUAAACAAAACAUUAGGCUGUAUCUAGUCCGUGAAUGAAUAAGAUCAUGAAGCCAUUGCAUAGGUGUUGGGCCUCCAAGUUGACUUCUGGGCACUGAGUAGUUCUUCUUGAUUCUUAUAAAAACAUAGAAAUUUACAUUGCAAUGUAGUGUCUUCAAGAGCUUUUCAAAUUCCUCUAUUGUACUAGAUUCGUCACAACAAUCGGUUUCCCUCCUUGCCUUAUAAUUCUAUCAACUUCUACAAUCACAAGUGCGAUUUUACACUUGCAUUCAGGUUAUAAAAGUUAUAUGACAUUAUAAUCAAUGAUCUCAAUACAAAUUUACAUUGCAUGUAGUGGAUUCAACAAGUUAUUUUUGGUUUUUGGCUUAUUUUUACAUAUUGGGAUUUGUUGGUUUAUGUGAAUCUAAUGGUUGCAUUAUUCAAAUUUUUAGGUCUUGUUGAUGUGCAUAGUCUCAAGCAAAGUAACUCAGAUGUUGGGAAGGUGGGCAACAAGUUCUUGUAGUUCAACUAUUAUUUGUUGAUGACUUUCAUCUCUUUCAUAUUUGAUGUACUACAUUUGUCUCAUGUUGUAAUGAUUAUUUGUAUGACAUUAAAUUUUGUGCAAUGGAUUGUAUUUUUUUGUAUAUGGUAUUUUAUUUUAUAUUAUGAGACAUGAAAUGCAAAUUUAAUUUGAAAAUUAGUAAAUCAAUAAAUAAUUUAAAAAAAAAAAUUUAAAUUACAAUACGCAAAAAUGUGUGUCAUCUUCGUUUAUGACAUGCCCUUUCUUGACAGUGGCUUCAAUGAUACACAUUGCAUGUCAUAAAUGUGUGUCGUAAAUGCUCGUCGUCUAUAGACGACACGCAAAAGCAUGUCGUCUCCCGUUAUGACAGGGCCUUCCUUGAUGCGCAUUUGCGCGUCGUCUGAGCGUUUUACGACACGCAUUGCGCGUCGUAAAAGGUUGUUUUUCUAGUAGUGUAUUACUUAGUUACAUCUAAAUUGUGAUAUUGGCAAAAAGAUUCAGAAAAUGAUUUUGCCCUUCCUUGAACUAAAGGAAGACGAAAUAGAUGCUGAUUGUUAUAAAUGUGAAUCUAUUGUGUCUUCAGAUGAGAUUUCGGAUGCCUACAGAAUUGGACUAGAUAAAUUGAGUCCUUUGUUAAGUCCAAAGACCAUAAAGAGAUGCUUAGAAAUCUAUUGGACGAAAAUGUCAAAUUAAAAAUCAAGAUUGAAACCAUGUAGAAAUUUGACUAAUUGUGUACCAAGUUAAGUUCAGAAAACCAAAUGAAUGUGGAAAACACUUCUGAAUUUGAUGAGGACAGUGAUAUGAGUGAAAUCUCUGUAGAGGACGAGGUUGACUGUUCAGAGUUUCUUCAAAGUGAACCCAAACCUGAAAAGGAUCUCAUAUCUGAAAAUUAUGUUGAGUUCGAUCGUAUGUCCAAGGACAAGUCUAAAGUCUUUAAAGAGAAAGCGGUUAUAUAUCAAAAGGUGCAAACAGUACCGAAUCAAGUGUAUGCCACCACUGGAGUUACCAAGAAGCAAAUAGUUGAGCUAACUUCUCUAGUAAAUAAAGAUAAUGCUGAUGGUUGUGAAGAAUAUUUCUGGUUAGCUCCCAUUGAUAAUGCAAAUGAAACAGUUGGUCUGUCGGAGCGAACAUCAUGGAGGGUCAAGGGCAGAUACGUGGCUGAACCUCUUAACAAGCCCUCAAGCUUUGAUAAGCCAAGCUCAAGUGGCACUAAAGAAAUACAAAGGGUACCAAUAAAGGAAUCAAGAGAAUCAUCUUCAAUAAAAAGCAAAGCUCGUGUAGAAAGACCGAAGCCAAAAGCAAAUAUUCACAAGUCUUAAAAACAAAUUGUUGAACAGAAAUGCCAGCGGAACAUGAGAUAUCAAAAGAAUCUCAAUGAGAGAAAAUAGUUUUGGCAGUCCUAAAACUCCGGUUAUGUUCACAAGGAAAAGGUGUCCAAUCUCAAGGCGAAAGAAAGAUCAAAGGCUAACUUUGAUCCAUGGACUCACUGCCAAUCUUGCAGUCAUACGAACCGAAGAAGAGGUUUCGGUCCCCAAUCUAGUAGUGACAUUAACCGAAAGUGUAGUUUCGGUCCUAAAUCCCAUCCUCCUCAUCACCAACCAAAGCCGAACCCUGUCAAGGAUGUGAAAGGGAAGGGAAAGUUGGUCUCGGACUCUAAAGUGCACACGAAGAAGACUUCAACUAACCCUAGGAAUCAAAAGACUAGUUUCAAUAAGAAUCAAAAUAAAGAUAAACUGUCUGAUUCAAACAAACCAAAACAAGAAAAUGAUAAAAUCAAAGUUUUUACCAUAAAAAAAGAUGAAAUCACACUAAUAAAAAGAACAUAUAUGGUUGAUCUUUCUGUUGCACUUCCCUAUUCUGUGAAAGGCUCAUGAGGACCCAAGAAAUUUUGGGUUCCUAAAUCUGCUUAAUUAUUGCAGGUAUUAAGUGACAAGCAGUUCGACGACGAAUCAUACAUUGAUAGUAGCUGCUCGCGUCACAUGACGUGAAGGAGGGAAGAUCUGAGAGAAUUUCAGGCUCUCAAAGAUGGUGGAUGUGUCAAGUAUGGACACAACUCAUAUGGCACGAUCAAAGGCUAUGGCAUGAUCAUAAACGGAUACUUCUCAAUCUGAAAAGUUGCCUAUGUAGAGGGAUUGCAGCAUAAUCUUAUAAGUGUCUCGUAAUUGGUUGUGGGGACUGGGAUGAAGAUCUUAUUUGAUGAUGAGGGAUCUGAGAUCCUAGAAAAGAAGACAAAGACAGUUAUGUUGAAGUCCAAACGCAAAGGUGAAAUGUAUCCUCUAAAUCUCAAUCUGAUACGAGGGAAGCCUGCAAUAUGCCUACUGACGAAAUCUAACUUAGAUGAAAGUUGGCUAUGGCACUCAAGGCUCUCGCAUUUUAAUUUCAAAGAUGUGAAGAAGAGACUUCUUGGUGAUCAUGUGCAAGGACUUCCACUUCUCAAGUUUGAUAAGGAAAAUUUGUGCACUGCAUGCGAGAUGGGAAAGCAAAGCCAAAAGAGUCAUCCCACACUUGUUAAUACAAAGAUCAAUGAAACACUUGAACUUCUACACAUCGACCUAUGUGGGCUUUCAGCAAUCGAGAGCGUUGGUGGUAGUAUGUACAUAUUCGUUAUUGUUAAUGAUUUUUGACAUUUCACCUGGGUUCUCUUUCUUAAACAGAAGUCAGAGGGGACUCCAAAGCUCAAAGCAUUUAUAAAUCAAGUAGAGCUUCAACUACGAAAGGUGGUUAGAAAUAUCCGAAGUGACAACGGGUUGGAAUUCAAAAACCAAGAGUUUGAAGGAUUUCUUGUUGAUAAAGGGGUGUCUCACAACUUCUCUGCUCCCUAUACUCCACAACAGAAUGGUAUAGUUGAAAGGCGAAACCGUUCAUUGUGUGAAAACGCCCGAACCAUGCUUAGCUUCACUUCUCUACCUUUUGUACUUCUAGGCUGAUGCAAUAGCCGCUCCCUGCUAUUCCCAGAACCGAUCCUUCCUCAAUAAGUGAUUUAAUAUCAUUUCGUAUGAUAUUUUGAAUAAUCGUAAACCAAAUGUCAAGUUUUUCCAUGUUUUCGGUUCUAGGUGCUUCAUUUUCAAUUCUAAAGAGAACCGAAACAAGUUCGAUGUAAAGGCAGAUGAAUGGAUUUUUCUUGGUUACUCUCUCACUUCAAAGGCAUAUAGGGUUCUGAAUAAACGUUCAACGAAAAUUGAGGAAACCUAUUAUGUCACCUUUAAUGAUAGUUACAUAAAUAAACAUCAAUCAAACGAAGGUCCAAUGGAGGAAAUCUUUCCAAAAUCAGGUCAAGUCUCAGUUCCAAUAUCCAAUCUAUUUGAAGAGUACAUGUUUCUCUUUGAUGAACCGGAAAAGGAAAUUCUCUCUGAAGCAAAGGCAGCUGACAAUAAAAUUGACAACUUGAAGAAGAUCAUCGAUGAAGCUGCAAAAGAAAUGGAAAGCACACCUCAAGGUCCAUCAAGCAGCAAGGUCCAAGCGAACCUCAGGACUCCAGCAAACGUCUCGUAUCAAGUGAAUCUCCAAAAGUUAGCUCAAGAUUCCAGGGGGAGGGUUCAUCUACAUCAACAAGAUCUGAUUUGCCUUUCCAGGGGGAGAGUCCAUCACCAACAACAACCCACGAACGUCCAGUAGAGGAAGUGAAUACUGAACCUAAAAUUGAUCGUAGUUCAUCAUUCGAGGGGGAGAAUAAUCAUAGAAAUGACGGAGAUGAUCAAUCUGAAUUUUAAGAGGAGAUAAAAGCUGAAUUGGAUCCUAUUUGUGAUCCAAACUACCAUCCAAUCACAAAAUGGACUAGAGAUCAUCCGAAAACUAAAAUGUUUGGUGAAUCAUUUGAGGGAGUUCUUACACGCUCUCAAAUAAAAGCGAAGCAAACUCAUCUAUUCUCUCAAGUAGAAUUUUGUAUGUUUAAUUCAUUUGUCUCCAAAAUAGAAUGAAAACUAUCAACACAACUCUCGAUCACUCUGAUUGGGUGUAGGCUAUGCAAGACGAACUCAAUGAAUUCGAGUGAAACCGGGUUUGGAGACUAAUCCCCACACCAAAGGAUGCAUCUGUAGUUAGGGUCAAAUGGUUUUUCAGGAACAAGAUGGAUAAUGAAGUGAAUGUGAUACACAACAAAGCUAGGCUGGUGGUGAAAGGGAUAUUGUCAAGAAGAAGGGAUAGAUUAUGAGGAGUCCUUCGCUCUAGUGGCAAGGUUGGAAUCGGUGCGAAUCUUUCUGGCAUACGCUACACACAAAAAAUUUGAAGUUUUUCAAAUGGAUGUAAAGUGUGUAUUCUUGAAUAGAGAACUAGAAGAAAUUGUGUACGUUGAGCAACUACCUGGAUUUGUGAACGAGAAGUAUCCUGCUCAUUGCUACAAUUUGCAUAAAGCGAUCUGUGGUCUAAAACAAGCCCCGAGAGCCUUGUAUGAAACGUUAACUUGGUUUCAUAAAAAGUCUAAAUUCAAACAAGGUUCGGUUGACCCAACCAUCUUUCGUAAGAAAGAGGGUGACCAUUUAAUGAUUCACCAAAUUUACGUCGAUGAAAUCAUCUUCGGUUCUACGAAUCCUAGCUUAACUGCUGAAUUCAGGAAGUUUAUGGAGACUAAGUUUGAGAUGAGCUCAAUGGGUCCAAUUAACUUUUUCCUUGGACUGAACAUAAGACAGGGACCAGAAUGCAUAUUCAUUGAUCACGAGGCUUACACAAAGACUCUAGUGGCGAAGUUAGGUAUGAAGGGGGAUUCUAAAGUGAAGGCUCCAAUGGCAUUCAGAACAAAGUUAACAUAAUCUCUAGAGAAACCAACUACUGAUAUGACCCUCUAUCAUCAAAUGAUAGGGUCUCUAAUGUAUGUAACAGCUAGUAGACCAGAUAUUAUGUUUUCUAUCUGUUAUUGUGUCAGGUUCCAAGCAAAUCCAAGAGAACCUCAUAUGGUGGCUAUGGAAAAUAUCUUCUUGUACUUGAAGCGAACCUCAUCUCUCAGUCUUUGGUACUUUGUGAAAUCGGGCUUCUUUGUUCAAGCCUUUUCCGAUGUUGAUCUUGGUGGAUGUGGUCUGGACCGAAAGAGCACAACUGGUGGGUAUCAAUUCAUUGAUUGAAGAUUCGUUACCUGGCAAGUGUUGUGAUCUUUGAUUAUGUUGAGUUGCAUUAGGGAGUGGCCAAAAAUCUUGUUUUUGCUGUUAUAUAAUAUUUUGAGACCUACGCCAAGUUGACUCAAGGCACAACAGGUACAUUCUCAACAAUGCUACAAAAAUGAGGCUAAUCAGGUUGGAUCUUUUUCAUUCUUGUUUUAGGUAUUGCAUUAAGUUUCAAAUGUUUGAAUUUUGAUUUUCAUUCAUUUUCUUUUUGUUUAUUUUCUCUGAUCUAAAUUUUUUUUGUUCUUUCUUGGGGACAAGAAAGGUUCAAGCUUGGAGGUAGGAUCUUGUUGGAGGAGGUAAAUAAGAGUUGCGGACAAAAUUUCACGACUUGCGGAGCACCGAGGAGCAAGAUAUCAAAGAAAUGAAGAUUUUGAAUUUACAGAGAUUUACACGGCCGUGUAAAUGGAAGCCUUGCGUUUACACGGCUGUGUAAAUGUAGAUUUCUGUGUAAUGUACAAUUGUCUUGACGCGGGCCGCGUAAAUGACAUUGUUAAUUUGCGCGGGCCAUGUAAACAUAAAUGCGGGUUUUAAAGCAGUUUUUCACAUUUCUUAAAAGGGGGAACCACUUUUUUACGUUGGGGGGUCGGAUUUUAGAGGAGAGAAGGCGAUUUUCAUGAGGAUUUUGAAGCAGAGUAACACUUGGGAACAUUUGAUUCCAUUUUGUAAAAACUUUAAUUUGAUUUUCCAGAUUUGUGAUCUUGUUCUAGCCAUGAGUGGCUAGAACCCUAGAUUCUCUAACUUUAUGUCUUGACAUUUGGAUGUGACUUCAAUGAUAUGACCUGCUGUUUGCUUAUAAUUUCUAUCUAGUAAAAGGGAUUUUACUUCAAUCGAAUGUUUGAUUUUGAUUUUGAUUCUUAUUGGCCAUUUGAAUUAGGUUAGGUCAUUCAAGUUAUUCAUUUUGCAAAAUUUGUAAUUGUUUUGUGAAUUGAACUAAGUAACAAGCAUUAAAUUGAUUUCUAUUCAAUGAACUUAGUGUAAAUCUUUUCACAAACUUUUACACUCCCACACUUGUGAGGAGUAUUGGGUGUUGUUGAGAACAUUCACAUGAAGCUUAAAAUAACCUUUUAAUCUAACUCUAAGAGCUUGUUUAGAUUAGGUUAGUAAGGUUACGAUUAAUCAAAGAUCUUGUUUUGGUUAAUUAAUGUGGUGAAUGGGAAGUAUUAGAGCUUGUUAACACUUGCAAAUACCAACUUAGAUAGAAUUGAACUAAAAAUCUUGUCUUCUUUGAAUCACAUUGCUAAAUUGUCAUACAUGAAGUUGGAUUCCUUACAAAAUUUGAACUUAAUUCACUCGUUCAGCUGAUUAUGUAUGUGUUUAAUUUGUUUCUUUAACUACUACAUUCAAAAUCCUCAUCCUUAGAUUGUUUGUGAACAAGUAACUUAUGCAAAGAGGUAUUGGACCAAUUGUCCCGUGUCUCUGUGGAUCGACCCUACUUGCCUUGUACUAUCUUUUAGUGCAACAUAGUGGUGUUCUUAGGACUAUAUCGUACCCUGGAUUUGACAUCCUAAGAGAGCAUAUUCUCGAUGUCAUACACAAGUGUAAACAAAACAGUGAAGCUGAUAAGAAGAACUUUACGGAUAUGCUUUGGUGGUAUAUUGAUUUUCAUCAAACUCUUCUCGCCAUUAUAUCGAAGAUAUUCAAUACUGUGAAGAAAUCCACUCUCGCUCAACCGAUAUGAUCUCUCACCUCAAUUGACGCAAAGGGGGGAGAUUAUUGAGUCUAAGAGCUUGCGUCAUUGGGCUUGUUCUUAGGUUCAUUUUGUAUACUCGGUCUGGGCCUGUCCAACCAUGUUUUGUCAUUAGGGUUUAGUUUAAAUGGUGCAUGCAUGCAUUGUUUUAGUUACACUUCUCAAUUAAUAUUUGAUUUAUUUAUAUUGUAACCCUAGCACACCUCUACAAUCGAAGUUCUUUAUCAAGCUCUUCUGAGGUGGAGCAUAUUAAUCAUUCAACACCUGUUUGAUCCAUUCUCGUGUUCAUCAUUGUAUAUGUGUUUGUUUAUCUGUUAAAAACCUAACGAUCUAAGUGAAUAAUAUUCUAUACAAUCAUUUAUUUGAAUGUCUAUCGAGUCUCAUACUAUGCACAAUUGACAUAUGUGAAGCAAAUAGCAGGGACAACAGAGAUCUCGUGAGACAGAGCAGUGCUGGGAGCAGUCUAGAGCUAGUAUCUAGACAUAUGGUUAUGGUUCCAAGGAACCAGUAGGGAGAGUCCAUAGCUGAUGUGAGGAGGUAGAGUUCUUGGGUCUCGAGGGUACAACUCGAGACAAAUACGAAUUGGUGUGUAAGGUAGCUUUAGGCCCAUACUACUGGAAGCACCGGGUCCGUAUGCGGCUCGAGGAAUAACCUUAAGAGACUAAAGAGCUUGUAGGGGUGUGAGUGUUGAUAUUUGUGACUUAGUGUAUUUUGUAAUAAUUUUCUUAUGUAUUUCAGUAUGGUGGGUACCCGAGGUUUAGGUGCCAGCGACCCAGAGAGGCUGAAUGCCAGUGAUGAUGAGAUCCAUAGGAUUAUUGCCGUAGAGGUGGCCGCAAAAAUCAGAGAGCCUAUCCCAAAGAUGUUUGGGUCUAUCAAGACCAUGUUGAUUGAGACUUUUGAUGAGCGCUAUGUUGCUAUCACUGAGGUUUUUGUUGCUACUGCCGCAACCACAAAAACCCUAGCUGCUGUGAGACGGUAGGGGGUGAUUUCUUGUGGUGCCGGGAGUUCACCAACACAAAGCCACUCGAGUUUGAUGGGACCUAGGAUUUGAUUGCCGCUAUGUGGUAGAUCUCUGAUGUUGAGGCAUAUUUCUAUACCUGCUCCUAUUCAGAGAAUUCGAUUCACAUUGAACCUGCUUCGCUCGGGAGUGAAUGUCUUGUGGAAGUUUGUGACAGAUGACUACAUGCUUCUAGAGAAUGUUGUCAUGACUUGAGAGAGGUUUGUUGUGAUGUCUAGGGAUGAGUUUGUACCAGCAGUAGAGCAAGAAAGGUUAACCCAAGAGUUCUUGUCUCUCUAGUAGAAGACAGAGACAAUGACUGAGAUCACAAGGAUGUUUCAUGAGAGGGAAUUGUUCUGUCCUAAGCAGGUAUCCACAGAGAAGGAUCUUGUGACUCUGUAUUUGAGUAUUCUGAGGAGGGAUAUCAGGGAGUUCAUGGUCAACACCACAUAUAAGACAUUGGCUGAGUUGCAGACCAAUACGAGGAGGAGAGAGAUCGAGAUGGAGACCCAGGCUAGGGUGGAGAGGGAGGCCCAGUGGAGAGAUAGGAGGCUAGUGUAGUUGCAGAUGGCGAAUAAGCAGGCCAAGCCCGCUAAUCAGAGAGCUGGAGGCCAGAAGGGCCGUACUUGUAGGAAGUGUGGCAAGGGAAAAUAGGGAUCUUGCUGGUUCGGAUCAACUUGUUAUCUAUGUGGCAAGGAGGGGCAUAUGGCUAGGGAUUGCCCCAACUGCUUUUGAGUUUGUUUCAACUGCAAUAAUAGGGACCACGUGAAGUCAUAUUGUCCUCAGCUUGCAUCUUGGGUGGUUCAUAAUUAUGCCCCAGUGACCAUGCAUAUCACUGAUGGCGAAUAGGGGAAGGCCGCGACAUCCAGGGCUUGACGUAGAGCAUUUCCGUUGACAACAAAAGAGGUUCGCGUAGCUCCAGACGUCGUGGUUGGUAUGUGUUCUUUAUAUUCUAUUGAUUUAUUUAUGCUUCUUAUAUUAUCUAUUUUGUAGGUACUUUUCUUGUGAAUUGUGUGCCUGUGCUUGUGCUGUUUGACUCUGGUGUGAGUCGAUCAUUUGUUUCAUCAUCAUUUUGUUGUAGUUUUAGUGUUCCACAAGAGACCUUGAGUAGGCCCUUGAGAGUCUCGAUUCCUAAUGAACGUCCAAUCUCUGCUAUUGAUGUCUAUUGAGGUUGUGUAUUAGAGAUCCUCGGGGUUGGAUAUCUUAUAGACCUCAUCCUUAUCGCAAUGGGAGAUGUUUGUGUGAUCGUGGGUAUGGAUUAGAUGAGUCGGUUUGGGGCUCUGAUUGAAUGUGAGCAUCAGUUGGUGACAGUUCGAUACCCUAGUGGGGGAGUGCUGACUAUCUGAUGAGGGUACUAGGUAAGGAUCAUCUUUCUACUUACCGCCAGGGUAAGUUAGAGUUUGGAACAUGGGUGUAUGGAUUACCUGGCAUAUGUAGUGGAUACUUUAGUUGAGAAGAAGGGAUCGACCUCUAUUUCUGAUGUUCUAAUGUUAUUUGACUUUCCUGAUGUUUUUCCCAAGGAGUUACUGGGUGUUCCUCCUGAAAGGAAAGUGUUCUUUCGGAUCGAUAUGAUUCCACAUGCGGCGCCGAUCGCCAAGGCGCCAUACCAUCAUGCACUUCCUGAGAUGGAGGAGUUAUCCUCUCAGCUAUAGGAGCUGUUUGGAAAAAGGUUCAUUAGGCCGAGCAGUUCUCCUUGGUGAGCCCCGUUCCUUUUCGUCUGGAAGAAGGAUGGUUCGCACUAGAUGUGCAUUGAUUAUCAUGAACUCAACAAGCCAACGGUGAAAGACUAUUACCACUUGCCGAUGAUUGGAGACCUUUUUGACCAGAUUCAGCGGGCAUCUUGGUUUUCCAAGAUUGAUUUGAUGUCUGAUUAUCAUCAAAUGAGGGUACGAGAGGAGGAUAUGCAGAAGACGACCAUUCGAACUCGUUAUGGGCAUUAUGAGUUUGUGGUGAUGCUUUUUGGGCUCACCAACGCACUGAAAACACUCAUGGAACUCAUGAACUAGGUGUUUAGGACCAUGUUGGAUCGAUCAAUGAUCGUUUUUAUAGAUGACAUCGUGGUAUAUUCGAAGACUAGGGAAUAACAUGAGUAGCAUCUUCUGGAGAUUCUUGGGGUUUUGAGGAUGGACAGGCUUUAUGCCAAGUUCUGCAAGUGUGACUUCUGGUUGCGUGAGGUCCAAUUUUUGGGACAUCUCGUCAAUCAGAAUGGUAUUUUGGUCGACUCAAUCAGAAUGGUAUUUUGGUCGACUUAACCAAGAUAGAGGUGUUGAGAUCUCCUUUUGAGAUUUGAAGCUUCCUUAGAUCGACAGGUUAUUAUUAGAGAUUCGUUAGAGAUUUCUCCAAGAUUGUUGUUCCUCUCACCAAGUUAACAAGGAAGGAUGUUACUUUCAGUUUGAGACCUGAGUAGUAGGCAUCGUUUGAGACUCUUCACCAGAGAUUGUGUGAGGCUCCAGUACUUGCCCUUGCGGUGGGAGUGGAGGAUUUUGUGGUUUACUGUGAUGCAUCCAUUGCAGGAUUGGGUGUUGUGUUGAUGAGAGGGGACAUCCCACUCAUGAUCUAGAGUUGGGGGCAGUGGUUUUUUCCCUCAAGAUUUGGCACCACUAUCUCUAUGAUGUUCGAUGUACCAUUUACAUGGACCAUAAGAAUCUAAGAUACCUUAUGGAUCAGCCUAACUUGAAUAUUAGGCAAAGAAGGUGGUUGGAUAUAGUGAAAGACUAUGACAACGAUAUCUUGUAUCACCCAUGAAAGGCCAAUAUGGUGGCUGAUGACCUGAGGUGGAGGUUGGUAAUUAAGUGCCCCAAUUAGGGAUGUGUGCAUGACGAUGACCGUGAUGAAUCCAGUCUUAGGGAUCAUCAACGAAGCGCAAUCGGAGGCCAUAAAAGAGGAAAGUCGGAAAAGUGAGCGGGUGAUCGAUAAAAUUUCGACAGUUGAUAUGGACAGUCGAGGGAUUUUAAGUCUUCAUGGGUGGGCAUGGAUACCAUAUGUAGGUGGGGCCCAACAAAUUUUGAUGGAGAAGUCCCACAAGUCGAGAUUUUCCAUCCACCCGGGGGCUACCAAGAUGUAUCUCGACUUGAAGCAUAAUUAAUUGUUUCCAUGUAUGAAGAGAGACGUGACUUGGUUUGUGAGAACUCUUUUGUAGAAAAGUUGGCUGAGAACUCUAGAGGUGGUAGCUUACCAAUGCCCUCCUGGAAAGUUGCAGCCUCUGGAAGUUAUCCUAUAGAAGUGAGUAUAUUAAUAUGGAUUUUAUUAUAAAACUAUCGAGGACUGCGAGGGGUGUUGACACUAUCUGGGUGAUAGAGGAACGGUUGAUGAAGAGUGCUCACUUCUUAGCUAUUUGUGAGAACUCUUUUGUAGAAAAGUUGUCCGAGAUUUACGUUCGAGAGGAGGUAGCUCAGCAUGAGGUGCCAAAGUCUAUAGUGUUUGAAUGGGAUGUGUGAUUUACUUCUAGGUUCUGGAAGAGAUUUCACGAGGACUUGGCUACCCGGCUACACUUCAGUACUGCAUACCAUCCGCAGACAGAUGGGCACAACAAACAAAUAAUUAAGACACUCGAGAAUAUGUUGCGUGCUUGUGUGAUCGAUUUUGGUAGGAGCUGGGACUCCUAUCUUCCAUUGACCGAGUUCUCGUAUAACUGUUGGGUUUUGAGCAUUCUAACACUCCUAAGUGUACAUGCAACCCUAAAUACCUUGGAUCUAUGUUUUCUCUAUUAUACAUGCAAAUAAGAACUUCCAAGGUAUUAUCCUAAUCUAGCAUACAAACACAAUGACUAUAGCAAGAUAGAAUACAUACCUCUUUGGAGAAGAAAGUCUUCAUGAAGCUAGAGUGCCUAGUGCCCCAAGUGUGACACCUCAAAUGGAAUCACAAUCAUCAAAACACUUGGAAUGACUUGAGAGAAUUCUACACUUAUCAAAAUUGGCUAGCCCUCUCUAGAAUCAUACUAGUUCCCAAUAUUGUCAAGAAUAAGAUCUUUAUAUAGUGUUACAAUUAGGGCAAACCCUAAUUGUCAUGACUUUCCAUUUCCUUGGAUCCAUGGGUACAAAUACACCAUGGAGCAUCCAUGGACCAUCCUAUGGGUUUUAGCCCAACUUGAUUAUCCAUGGAGCAUUAGCCCACUAUACAAGUAUGGAUGAUUUACACAAUCAACCCAUAUAUUUAAUUAGUCUUCUUUUGAUCACUUAAUUAAUCCUAGAUUAAUUCUUGAUCAAUACUAAUUAAAUAAUCUUAUUAUUCUUAUUAUUAAUAUACUAGAACUUAUAAUAUAUUAAUAACCAUAAGUGUCUUAUUUCUCUCAUCCAAGUGCAUGAUGGUAUGCAACCCAAAUGGACCAUGCCGGGUCGGGUCAAGUCUUACCAAUUAUAGUUAUGGACUUAGACAUUAAUCCAACAGUCUCCCACUUGGAUAAGUCUAAAACUAUUAUUGCGUAUGACUUCAGGAACCAACUGGCAAUCGUAGCUCUCAAAAGCUUCUGUCGAACUCUGACCUUGUAGAUGAACUCUGACCUUUGUCAAUGACUUGUCCAUUAGAUAAGGGAUCAUAUAUUCCUCCAUUCUAGAUAUCAUAUGGACUGAGACAUGGAUUAUAAUCAUUCUCUCUGUCCAUUUGUUGUUUCCCGAUUUCCGAUUUAUGACGACUGACUAAUUGAACAAAUCAAAUCAGUCCUGGCCCGGCCGAGCACUUCCAUUUGUCAUCAUCAAAUCAUCGAGGGGCCCACAGAUAUCGCUUUUAUCCCGAAGGUAAAAGGAAUGGAUAAACUUCGACUCAUAUGGCUUGUUCUACUACUUGUUGAAUCAUACACAAAGGCACGUUUUAUAGCACCGAGUUACCAAAUGCGUUUUCGUGCAAUCAAUGUACUAUCAACUCAUAGUAACAACUCAUAUCUCUAGGUUUGAAGAAUAUAAGAUAUUAUCGUCUCAUGAUCACUCGUGAUAAAAUCCAUGAAGUGAUUCCAAUGAGCGCGGGUUGAAUCCAAUACUCAGAACUUAUGAGCACUCAUGAGUGUUGUAGCCCUUUGUCCAACACCUUAGACCUCUACAAGCCAACCCAUGACAGUCUUAAUUCAUAUCUACUUCCAACAUAUGACCGACUGUGGAUGGUUUGAAUAACUUAGUCAUUCCGGAAGAAUAACCCAGUUUAUUCGGGAAGUCAAAACAUGCAAAGUGAAACACAAUAAUAAUUGAAUCCAAUAUGGUCUCAGAACUUAUGAAUAUAAAUAAAACACCUUUUAUUUAUCACCAUAUGAUUACACAUUAUUCAUUGUAUACUGUUUCAGCUAUCAACUUUAAUCUUGAAUUUAAAACAAUAGUUGUCCCAUGCUCCAAGCAUGUACACUAUGUUUUUCUCAACACUAGUCAUGCUAUACACCAAGUAUACAUACUAUGUUUGUCUAUGAUCUUUACUUUGUGAACUAGAUCAAUUGAACAUAACUUCAAUGAUUCUCUUUUCACACUCCCAAAUCCUUACUGCAAAUGCAAGAAUUCCAAAUUCAUGCCAUUUACUGAAAUCUGUUAGAUUCUAAACUUAUAUGCAUUGAUCCUCUUGUAAUGAUUAUGCACAAAGUCACAAAGACUUGGCAACAAUCAUUACAGAGUAUUCCAAAGGAGAUCAACUCCUUGGAAAUAUCCUUCUUGCAUUAAGUUUCCUUAAUCUUACACAGAUUGAAAAUUCUAACUUUGAAACAUUUCCAGAUUCCAUUUUGACUAUCACUUCUGAACAAGAGUUGCCUCCUUACAGAUUAUGUCAAUAUGGUCCUUCCAGAAUUAUCACUAUACUUCCAAUUGUCCUUGAGUAACCAAUCUUUGGUAAACCUUAGAUUGUCCUCGACAAUUGUUUAAUCCUUUUAGUCAUAUCCAGUUCUAAACCUUUUCCCUUCUUAAUGCCCCAGGCAUUUGGAAAAUUUUAGAACGGAUGAAUAUAGCACAUGUAAUCGAUCCUAUAUCCGAAGCAUAUGGGACACGAUUCAUGAUGUCUUACAUAAAGACUAAACCAGUCUUUUGCUAUAAUAUUUCCAUUUCAAUUUGCCAAGUUCUCAUAAUUCAGAUUAUGAAAAGGGAUGCCGUAAUCAUAAUCGAAUUUUAGAACGCAAAUAAUGGACCCAUAUACAGAAUUUCCUUAUGUUGAGCCAUUCCAACAUGAAAUUCAUAUAUAUCCUUGACUAAAUGAUUAAAACCUCACGAUCUAAGCUUAUAGAUUUGAGAUGAAGCAUAAUUUCCUCUCCCUUAAUUAUAGCAAAACAACUUUUUCCCAAUUGAAACUUUUGUUUUCUAUAAUUAACAUUGCUAACUUGCAAUACUUAUCAUAAUUAUCAUGCUCCCACUAACAUGAUGAUUAUUAGCAUAACACUUAUGCUCCCACUAGCUUUGACAUGUACUCAGAAAUCAGCUGGACAGUCUGAAAUUUAGAUUCAUACACCCUUUCCGUAGAUAGCUCACCUGUGUGUCUAAGCAAUUUCAAGAACCAUGAAAAGGGAUACCGUAAUCAUGGUCUCAAUUGCUUAGGCAUUUGCCAUUUCUCACAAGUCCAUGUUAGUGUGCCGGUUAACCACACGCGCUCCACUAACGACUUUUGAAAAUGCAAAUAACACAAUUGAUAUCUUCGUAAAAUCUACUUAGUGAAAGCGUUUCCUCACCAUCAUUUUCAUGAAUCGGAGAGAAACCUUAUGACACUUAGAUUUAUAUGGUGUAUGAGUUCCUACCCAUAUGAAUUUGUCAAACCAUAAUCACAAGACAAAGAUAAUGACAAAUCCAAAACCAUAUGGAUUGAACUCAAUCUUAACUUCUUGCCACCUGGCAGCUCAAGGGCCUGCCAUUGCUUCCAAGUUGUUAUGCAACAAACUGAGAACUCUAAGAACUCAUAUGCAAAGCCAACUUUAACUGGAAUGGGCACAGAUAUGUCAACACGAUAGGUUAUAAACCUCAAGUCGUGUGCUAGUGAAGAACUUUAGGUUUUAUUCUUGAUUAUUUCUUGAGACUUUCAAGACCUUUAAGACUCCCACUGUCCUCUUGACAUAUAAGACUCCCUUGUCAAACAUCCAAGAGAUAGUGCGGAUUCUAAUCAAGAAAAACACUUUACCCAAUUGGCCUAAGUUGGUCUUUGUUUUAUCCAAAACAUCACAACUUACCAAUUUCAAAUGUACAAGAGUAGAAAACUUUUACUCUUACAUUUGACAAGUGUUUUAAACCUUCUUUAAGACAUGUCACUCAAAUGACAAUCUUGGAGUAUGACUCUAAGACUUGUAUUGGAACGAAGUAUGACUCAUCUUCUUGAUUUAACCAUUUCAACAAUUCAAGUUCCUCUUCUUAGUCAUAAGAAUGCACUAAGAUUUCCUUAGAGAACUAAUUUUGAUAUGGUUUCUUAAUCAUUAAGAUGAUCACAAAACUGAUACUAAAGUACUCUCCCAUCUUUUCAGAUUUGAGAAACUUUUAUCCUUCUGCCUUAUUUGAUUCUUCUUAUCGAUCUUUAGUGGUGGACUUAAUCAGUGCACAAGAAUGUGUACUCGAUCCCUAAGUCCUUUACUUGACUCACACAUCCAUGUGAACAAGUAAUUAGUCUUAAUUUUCCAAAACUUGAAAGUUCUCAUUCAUCAUGCUAUACAACUUGCAUGAUUCCAAGUUCCGGUCCAAUUGAAACUUGGGUGAUGAGAAUCUUUCCUUAUUUGGUAAAUUUAGACAUUACCACAAAUGAAAGAAUCAAUUUCAUAUUUCCACUCUUGCUCUUAAUGGAAUCAUAUAAGCAACAAUUUUUCCUCAAAUGCCAUUGUAAGGAUAUUUUAAAAUAAAUAAAAUAAAAAAUUUUCUUUUAUUUUAAAACUUUGCGGAAAAACUUAUCCUUACAAUCCAUAUGAAAACUUGUUGUUAUCUAUUCCUAAGCAAUAUCUCAUAACUCCUAAGAAGUAGCUCAAGAAUCCGAUCUUCAAACUAUGCGAUAGAAAUCCAUCUACGCCAUCAGAUUCAGCAUAUUCUUUCUUUAAGUUUCUUCACUUUUCUUUGAUUCUUAAAACAUCACCAUGUGACCCAGUCACAUCAUGUAUCAAGAAUCUCAGAAUAGAAACUUAACAGAGUUAGAUAGUGGACUUUACCUGAAGUAGAGUCAAACUUAUUGACUUUAACAUCCUUAGGUAAAUUUGGCAGCUUCGCAACCAAUGCCCCUUCCUUUGGCAAUAUAAACAUAUGGACCCUUUGAUAAUGGUACACGGGACUAUCACAGACUUAGCUUUUCUCUUUACCAUUUGGUCAACCGAGUUGACUAUGGCCGAUCCCUUUCCAUUGGGAAGAGAAUGCUUUACUGGAUAUCCAAUGUCAUCAUUGUCAAUGUCCAUAAAGUUUUAGGAAGUUGAUCUUAGCAAAUAGAUAAGAUCAUUAAGGGUCUUGUCAUAGUCUGUUUCAUAGGUGUCCCAAAGGAACUCACUAUGUGACUUAGAAAGUGGUUGAACCACCAACUUUCUCAAGACUUUGACACCCAACUCUCCCGGCUUGUCAAUAUGUGACUACAUCUCCAAGAUGUGACCACACCUAGACCUUGCCUUGCCAAUAGGGCCUGAGUGACCUUAAACUUUUCAAGAACUUGUGGGUUAGGGAGAAUAAUUUGAAGAGGUGAAGAAGUAUGAUAUCCAUGGGACAUCAUCUUCAUUAGGAAACCUUGUUUCAAGAGAUUUGGGAAGAUCAUAGGUGUCUAAACCAGACAUCUUUUGGGAGAUAUUCAAGAUAGUUGAUUUAAAGUCCUUAAUAUGACACCCAAUAUGAAAUAUUAAGGCUAGGACCCAACAAACUAUUUUAUAACUUAGAAGAGGUAUGCCGUAAUCCAAGCUAUAAAAUAUUUGAAGGUAGGUGAAUGACGAUUCACCAAUUUCCACCAAGAUAAACGAAAUGUAUUAUUAGGUUUUAAUUGGUUUUGAAACUCCUAGAUCUUUGAGAUUCAUUGAACUUUUCAAAGGCAUGUUUCAAUCUCGAGUGUGCCCUUCAGGUUUUGUGACUGGGAUGCCGAGGAUCACAAAACAAGGUGUGAAGUAACCAUGCAAAUCACUUGGUACCCUUAAUAAAUUACCCCUCAAUCGAUGUGCCGGUUAACCACACACGCUCCAUCGAUACUAUGAUAAAUAUUAAGUCACCCUUUACCUACCUUGUUAAGUCCAAGUUAGUGUGCCGGUUAACCACACACGCUCCACUAACGACUUAGACAAAGUGUAAAGUGUAAUUUCAUGGAUUAGCACCUUAUUCACAUUUUUCCUAAGUAACUAAGAUUGGGUAUUAUUAAGAGUUUAGUUACUUAGUAUUAUCAUUAAUACUUUUAAUGAAGGGAGAAUUCUAGUCCUGUCAAACCCGUUCGGCUAACGACCCUCCACCAGUCAAGCAAGCGGUGGGUGAGAGUGGACACCCAUUAAGUUGCCAUUUUAUAGGCAACAACCUUAUACCCACCUUAUAGACCGGCUUCGUGAAUGAGGCGUACUAGCGGUAAGACUGACUUUACUCUUAUACAUAUAUAUAUUAUUAACUUAUAAUAUUAUAAAGUAUAAGGGUUGAAUUUUAACUUUUAAAAUUCUAAGGGCUAACUUGGAAUUAAAGUAUUCAUACUUGAAAACUUUUCAAAUUCCAAAACUUGAGGGCAAGUUUUGAAACUAUUCAAAACUAAUUAAUUCCAUAACUUAUGUGUUUAAAGUAGUUUUAAUCCAAAAACUCUUCAAGUUCCAUAACUUGAGGACAAGUUAUGGAAGACUUUAAACUAAUAAAAGAACUAACUUUUUCUUUAUUUUAUAACUUAUGGAUUUAAUUAUGGUUACAUAUUUUUCUUUAAUGAAGUGACUCUUGAACUUCCAUAACUUGAGGACAAGUUAUGGAGUCAUAAAAAUUAUUCAAUGACACAAGACUCUUCAUUUUGUAACCAUUGCCAACUCUUAUGAAUUUUAUGAGUCUUUAAUGUGACUCUUCAUGUAACUUGAGGACAAGUUACACAAACACAUUUUAUACUCAACUCUUAGAUUAAAAUGGAUUGAAAACAACUAUUUCACUCAACAUUUCUAUUAAUCUAAGCAACUCAUAAGAACAAGAUAAUUCAAAUCAAACUUUUUCAUGUAAUUAGUCUAAACCUUAAACUAAUACAAAACAUGAAUCUAUUGACAAUUAUCUUUGAAAAUGGAUUAGCAUGAACAUUACCACAUCAAAAACAAGUUUAUAAGUUCAAAAACAACUUAGGGUAAUGUUCCUAGUCCAUUUCUAGCCAAAAAACUCGAAAAUAUGCUGUCUGGGGGUCCAACUCGUCGAGUGCAUGAACAAACUCGGCGAGUUGGAUCGAAUUCAUCACUUUUUAGGCAUGGACUCGUCGAGUCUCCUGAUGGACUCGCCGAGUCUGAUGGCCAGACAGCACCAGAUUCGUUUUUUCAGCUUCUAUUGCAGGUAUAACAAGAAAACAAGCCUAGGCUCUGAUACCACUGUUGGGUUUUGAGCAUUCUAACACUCCUAAGUGUACAUGCAACCCUAAAUACCUUGGAUCUAUGUUUUCUCUAUUAUACAUGCAAAUAAGAACUUCCAAGGUAUUAUCCUAAUCUAGCAUACAAAACAAUGACUAUAGCAAGAUAGAAUACAUACCUCUUUGGAGAAGAAAGUCUUCAUGAAGCUAGAGUGCCUAGUGCCCCAAGUGUGACACCUCAAAUGGAAUCACAAUCAUCAAAACACUUGGAAUGACUUGAGAGAAAACCCACACUUCAUGAAAUCGGCUAGCCCUUCUAGUACACCCACUAGUGCCGAUUUUGGUGAAUAAUAUGAUGCUUAUAUAGUGUUACAAUUAGGGCAAACCCUAAUUGUCAUGACUUUCCAUUUCCUUGGAUCCAUGGGUACAAAUACACCAUGGAGCAUCCAUGGACCAUCCUAUGGGUUUUAGCCCAACUUGAUUAUCCAUGGAGCAUUAGCCCACUAUACAAGUAUGGAUGAUUUACACAAUCAACCCAUAUAUUUAAUUAGUCUUCUUUUGAUCACUUAAUUAAUCCUAGAUUAAUUCUUGAUCAAUACUAAUUAAAUAAUCUUAUUAUUCUUAUUAUUAAUAUACUAGAACUUAUAAUAUAUUAAUAACCAUAAGUGUCUUAUUUCUCUCAUCCAAGUGCAUGAUGGUAUGCAACCCAAAUGGACCAUACCGGGUCGGGUCAAGUCUUACCAAAUAUAGUUAUGGACUUAGACAUUAAUCCAACAAUAACAACAACCAUCAUGCCAGUAAUUAGAUGCCCGCGUUCGAGUUCCUUCAUGGUCGGAGAUGUCAUACUCCUAUUUGUUGGGUCGAGGUGGGACAGAGGGUCAUGGGGAGCACGAACGUAUUUCUCAAGAUGAUUGUGCUUAUACAAUAGGUUCGACAGUGAUUACUGAUACCGUAGAGCCACCAGAUGAGUUAUGCGGAUCGGAGACGCUCUGAGCUGGAGUUUCAAGUGGGGGAUAUUGUUCUCCAGAAGGUAUCACCUUGUAAAGGUAUUAUCCACUUUAGGAUGUGGGGAAAGCUAGGCCCCAUGUUUACUGGCCCUUUUUGAGUCUUGACCCAUGUGGGCAAGGUGCCCUACCGGAGGAGCUGAGUCAGAUCCAUAAUACCUUCCAUGUUUCUCAGCUGAGGAAGUGUAUUGCUGAUGACACAACUGUGGUCAAUUUGGCAGACAUUCAGGUCGAUGAUCGCCUGAGUUAUCUGGUUAAGCGUGUUAUUGAUUUUGGAUUGGAAGGUGAAAACCAUGAGGAACAUGGUUGUGAACUUGGUCAAAAUUCAAUGGCAGCAUAUGAGAGGUUCAGAAUGGAUGUGGGAACCGGAUUACGAGAUGCAGGAGCAAUAUCUGGAGCGAUUUCCUGAGGAUAACUUCGAGGGUGAAGUCCGAUUUUAGUGGGGUAGAUUUGUAACUUCCUGAUUUUUUAGGUAUUAUGAUAUUUCUUGCAUCUUUAUUAUUAUUGCACCUUUGGUCCCUUUCAAGAAAAGUUUUAUGACUUUUUGUUGUAUUCCGGGCGUAUAUAAGGGUACGCAAAGCGUACCCAUGUAGAGUAUGGAUCGCGGGUGGCCCGGUAGUACGUUGGGCAUACAUGUGGUACGCCGGGAGUACUAGCCCGUACUCUAAAAACCUAAUUUCUUUGUUGCUCCCUAUAUAAAGAACAUUAAUUCCCCGUUUUGGUCACUCUUAUCAGCCUCCAAACCCUCCUUAAACCCUAAUACCGAUUUUGAGUGUUGUGUGAGACUUGCAAGUUCAUUUGAGUGUUUUUGGUGCAGUUAGUUGGAGAAGGAUGCUAGUGAAAAAGAAGAAGGUGUUGGGAAGAUUGUAGAUCUAGAAAACUAUUCUCCUUGCACAUCAUUUUCAAGUAUAAAGUUUGUAACUUGACAAGUCUUUCAUUAGAUCUCCAUGUUUGAAGUUCUAUGAUUUUUGUCCUCAGUGAUUGGACCUUUAUCAGUUUGGAGCACUCUAGGGGUUUGUAGCAGUCCUUUCAUGUAUUAUAAGACUUGUGGAUGCAGAAAAACGGUAGCUUGAUGACUUCUUUUAGUUUAUGCAUGAGCAAAAUGGCUUAGAAUGUGUUUGGAGCUUAUGAAUGAUGCUUUAGGACUCUUCUAGCCAUGUAAUGGCUUAAAGAUGAUAACUUUAUGGUUUUAGACGUCACGGAAUGGCCAAAUCUAUGACUUGGAGUAAUAAUCUUAAGGUAUUAAGACACGAGUUAGUAGAAAUUGGAAUAGACGGAGUGUUGAAUUUUGUUUAUCCAUGUUGUAUGCCCCGCGUAGCCGGUCCAAGCCCCGUUAUUGCUGAUCAAAGUUAUAUGACCCGCGUAGAUUGUGGUAGGCUCACCGUAUGCGCUAAGUGUUGACUUUUGUUGACUUUGACCCUUGGUCAAGAUUUAGGGUUUUUAGACCAUGUGAAGAGCAAAAUGGUCCUUUUCUCAUAAAAGGUUUAGUCGUGGGAUUGGGAAUUUGUGAUUGAGUUUUGAAGGUUAAUUAUUGAUUAGUGUUAAUUAUUUUUUGAAUAGGCAGAGUCUAUAUAUGACAGUUUGGGUGCUAGGUUUUUAUGUCAUCAGUAUUAGGUGAGUCUACUCACUUACUCUUACUUGUAUGGUAGGAUAGUUAUGUUAUGAUGACCAUCUGGGUCUAGUUGCUAUGUUAUGUUAUGAUAUGAUAAUUAUAUGUGAUUGAGGUUGCUAAUAGCUAACCAGGGUUGGUGAUAACCCACCGAGUGUGCUGUUAGGUCACCGGGACUGUUGAUAGUCCCAUGGUUGCGGAUAACCCAUGGAUGUUAUUUAUCUUGUAUACUAUGUGGUAUCUUGGGGGAACUCACUAAGCUUUGUGCUUACAAUUGUUGAUCUUAAUGUGGCGGGUACUUCGUAGGACCGCAAGAAGGUGAAGGUAUGAUUGUACACACACGCUGGGGAAUUUACUUUUGGGACAUGUUUAUGAACUCUGAUAAUUAUGAUACUUGUUUCUUUGGGAUAGUCAUGUAUUUUCUAAUCUGUUUGAGAAACUAUGAUUUUUAGUAAAUUUAAAAACGAAAAAAUUGGUCUAGAAUAUGAGGUGUUACUUGUUGGUUGCAUUGGAGCUUGUAGAUCCAGACUUUGUUCACUAUAAUCUUUCUUUUAGAGAUAUAAAGUUUGAAUCUUUGAUGAUACAUUUGAUAGAUCUAGCUAGUCUAGGGUGUUAUGAUCUUUUGGUCACUAUAGUGCAUAAAGUGUAGAUCUUGAAAGUUUGUAACCUUAUUAUAGAUAAAGUUGGAAACAUUAUCCAUCUAAAUUUCAUAUUGAUUCAAAUAUAAAGUCUUGAGACUUUGACUUAAUGAAUUAUGUUGGAAAAUAUGCACUCUGGUCCCUUCAACACUUAAAGACUAGGUCUUGGCUGGUUGGACCAUUCUAAUGGAUAAAGUGGGGAACUCUAUCCAUUGUGGAGUUAUUAAGAACCAUAAAAAUGUAAUCUUGGGUCUUAGUCCUUACCCAUGCAUGUGCUAGGAUGCCCUAAUUGAUUAAGAAGUUAGAGUUUGUUGGUAUUAAGUACUUCUAGCCAUGCAAAGUUAUAAAGUUGGAAACUUUAUGACUUAUAAUGUUAUUUUGGGCUUAGAUCUUGAUUUGGACAUAAGGACCUUAUGUAUUAAGCUCUUAGUAAGAAGUUAAGGUGACCAGGUGCAUACGCUGGAUGUACCAAAUGGUACAUUGUGCAUUCGUACACAAGCCCUCGACUUCUUGGUCAAGAGGAGUAGGCCCCACAUUCAGUUGGGAACACCCAACGUACUCGGUUGGUUUGUUGGCUUGACUUGGUUGGUUUGUUGACUUUGAACUUUGAUCAAGGUUGACCUAAGAGUAGUUUAGAUAUUUUAGGUCUUUUGGGAUUACUAACUAAGUUUAGGUCACCGGUUCCGUUUAGGUGAUUGGUAGAGUUGGUGUUGGAGUUGUUCUCGGUGCUGUAUACUUUUCUACUACUCGUUGGACCGAGAUGUGAUUUUUCUUUACUAUACCCAUGGGUCAGAGACACCAAACCGAUCCACUAGAUUAUGUAUCCUGGUUAUCGGAUGGUACUAUGCUAGUAUAUGAAUGAUUAGUAGAUAUGUAUGAUUAUCUAUAUUUUCUGGUUCUGUAUGUAUGUUUAUCUGUUACAUAUGUCGACAUAUUGUGGUUGGGUUGCGGCGGUGCUGCUUUGUGUUGAAGGCCAAGGUACGCAGUGUGGUCCAUGUAGGCUCUAGGAUCUACGAGGUGGUCCACUCACAUGGAAGGCCCAUAGAGUGCUCCAGAUAGGCUGUAGUCCACGCUAGGCGGUCCAGUCAGGAUAAAGGCUCAUAUUUGCAUGUUAUUGUUUGUUGUGUUGUGUGAUGGUACUUUGGAUAACUCACUAAGCUUUGUACUACAAUUUCAUUUUAUUGUUUCAGAUACUUCAGAGGAUCGUGGGAAAGUGAAGGCAUGAUCAUGCAGUUCUUCAUAUUUUUAUGACAUUAGAUCUUCGGGUACUCUGAUUUUGAAUAAUACUGUUGAAACAAUGGUUUUGUUAACACCUUAUGGAUAAAAUGGGUUGUUUUUAAAAAUUUUAAAUUUCUGUGAUUUUUGGGUUGUUUCAAAUUUACAAGUUGGUUGUGCAUUGGUAUUGCGAAACCACAUCAGCAAAACGAUGUUAUAAAACGUAGUGUCAUGCAUGAUUUGAUGAGUAAAAGAUACAAGCAUAUAACUCGAAAUUUAUUCGUUCCUUUUUCCCUAAUGGGAAAAGCAACAUCUUUGGCCCCUCUAUGAUUUGUUGUGAACAUCUGAAGUGCUUGGUUAAGCCCAUACUGAAUUGAUGUGUUCGAUUAGUAGUCUGAAUUUAGUCAUCAUAUAUCAAGAAAUCAGGAAAAAGAGUUUUGGACUAUGAGAUUUAUUAUAAUUCAUGUCGUAUCCAUACGAUAUCUUGUAGAACGAAAGAAUAUUUGAUCACUUAUCUUAGAACUAAUGACUGAUCAGAUCAGAGUCUGGAGUUUCUCUAGGAAGUACCCUUUGUUGAUAAUUUAGAAGUUAUACUAUCAACUGUAGUUAUAGACUUAUCCAGGUGGUAGACUGUUAGAUUAGGUGUCUUAGCCAAUAAAUAAAUUAUUAUAUACUUGAAUUAUUGAGAAGGUCCUUUUGGAUUUCCCUGAAACCUAGUAAUUGAAUAAAAAGGAUUUGAGAGAGAGGAAGGGAGAGAGAGAGAGAGAGAGAGACUGAUUUAUUGAUUUAUUGUAUGAUUAAUAAAUAACAAUAAAUAAUUUGUUAAUAUAUUAUGAGAAUGAUAUAUUAAUUAGAAAUUUUAUUAUUUAAUUAAGAAUUUUUAAGAUUAAGAUUCUUGGAGGCAUCAUUAUUUUAUUAUAUUUUUGAGUUUUGGAUAGUGUCACGUUGUGGUGAAGGAAUCCAGCGACAUGGAAAUGUUCAUUGUAUUGCAGGUUUUAAAUGGCCGCCACGGCAUGGCAGCCUAUGGCCAUGACAUGGCAAUUGUUUCAUGAGAAACCCCAAUUUCUAGGGUUUGCGCCAUAUUUAAGGAAAUUUGAGUGUUAAUAUUGCUCACCCUCAGCCUCCAUCACACUCUCUCAGCCUCCAAGCAAGCCAUAACCUCCAUUUUUACUCUCUAAGCCUUCGGUGUCGAUUUUUGGGGAUUUAAAAAGUAGUAGGUGACUUCUAGGCCCGGAUUCAACAAGAAACUCUUAUCACCAUCUUCUUUUGCAUCUUAUGGACUCUUGUAAUCCCCAAGUUCAAAGCUUUUUCGUUUAAAGUGCAUAGAUCUAAGUUCUUAUGCCUUAAUCUUCAUAUCCUUGAUCAUUGGAUGGUGAGAUCUCAUAAAGUUUGUGUAACAACCCGAAAUUCAUAUCACUGCUUGUACCCCUUUUAGCGACUCAUUUCGAUCAUCCAAUUGCCGUUUCCAAUUUUGUUUCCAAUUCCGACAAUUAAUUAAGUCAUUAAAGUGUAUUUUAUUUUAUGACUUAAUGAGCAUCCUAAUACCUUUAGAACUCAUUCUAACUGUAAAAGCCCAAAACCCAGGUACCCUUCUAUUUAGCCCUUCAUCUUUGUUAUGUUGCCAUUUUGGGUUUGCAUGUUAGGCGAGUACGCUAGGCGUACAAGGAGUAUGUUGCGCGUACUCGUGCACUUCAUUUGGACGCGUUCACCCUCAGGUACGCUGGGCGUACCCAAGGUUACGCGGGGCGUAACCGGUCCAGACCUAAAAACCCUAAUUCAUUCGGAGGGCUAUAAAAGGAAUGUGUGGCUCGACUUCUCAGCCACCAUCCCAAAGAGAGAAACCCUAAAGAGAGUGUGUAUCUGUUCAUGGGCCAUUUGUGAGUAUUCUAAGCUUGGUGGUGCCAUUUCAAGGUAGCAAAGGAGAAGAAGAACUCAUUAGGAAGGCUAGAAGUGGUGUUUAAGUGUAGAUCUGAGCUUUGCAAGGGUUGAAGCUGCAUUAUCAGGUAAAAAGUUCGGAUCUUGUCACUUGGUUCAUGUUACAUGCUUCAAGUACCAUUUUCUAGGGUUUUAGUCCCAAAGGUGGAGACUUUUUGUGCAAAUGGUCUCCAUAAGCGUAGAUCUCAUACUUCUGGUCUUUUGGAGUUGUAGACUCAUAAAAAUGACAUCUUGGACAUGAAUGUUGCACCAUGCAUGAGAUCUAGGUUCUUGAGUUGGAAUAGAAUGAUGUUAAGAAGUGUUGGAGCUUUUACAGCCAUGCCAUGGCUUAAAGGUCUCGACUUUAUGGGUAUAGACGCAUAAACAAAGCUGGAUCUAGAAGUUGGAGUAAUGGCUUAACCGAUUAAGACAAAAUAUGAUGUAUGCUAAAGUCUGAUGGUUACGCUGGGCGUAACUCCUAGUACGUGCAGCGUACUGGGUGGAGACCUCGAUCCAUGGGUUGGUGAUGUACGCCCCGCGUACAUCAAGCAGUACGCCCCGCGUACUCAUAGGGUUGACUUUUGUUGACUUUUAGGGUUUUGGUCAACAUGAAGACUUUGGGUCAAGGAAGGGUAAAAUGGUCUUUUACCCUCUGAGGAAUGAUGAUAAGGAGUAAAGUUUUAGUUGUGGAAGUCUUUUAUUAUUAAAUGAUAUUUUUAUGAUUAGGCGAGGUAGAGUCGUCAUUGGGAUUUGGAGAUACCGAGUACGCGGGAUCUUAGACUUUCCACGAGGUGAGUUUUCUCACUAUACUGUACCCGAAAGGGUUUUAUCGUGUGACCGGAAGGUCGGAUAUGUUAUGUGUUAUAUGCAUUGUAUGUGAUAAGUUAAUCGUUUAUAUGUAACAUGUAUGAUAUGCUUUAUGUUAUGGGCCGGAAGGCGUUUAUGUUAUGGGCCGGAAGGCGUAUAUGUUAUGGGCCGGAAGGCAUUGUGAUGUGGACUGUAAGGUUGACGUAGGUAGGACCGGAAGGUUUACCUAGUCGGGAAGGAAGUGCCCUGAGACACGUGGACCGGAAGGUCAGGGCCUGGAAAGGCGUAUGUGCGUAAGUUGUAUUUUGGGGAACUCACUAAGCAAUUAUGCUUACAGUUGUUGUGUUAUAUGUUUCAGGUACUAGCGAGGACCGGGGGAAGGCGCCGACGUGAUUGUACACACUAAUGAAGAAACUGUUUUUAUGAUCAUGGGAUGUAUUUGUUAUGAUAACAUUGUUCACGUUUGAAUUUGGAAUAUUAAAUGAUGGUUUUUAAUGUUUGCAAAAAUUAAAAAUCUGUUUUAAAAUUUACGUUGUUACAAGUUGGUAUCAGAGCCUUGGUUUGAGGGAUUCGGGUACACCUUCGGGCGUAACUGAACUCAAACCGGGGUUUGAGGAAAAAUUUUAAUUAAUAAAAGCAAUAAAAAUUUGAUAAGAGAUUUCGAAACAACCAAAGGAGAAGCAGUGUGUACGGUCAGCCAGCGCCCGAACGGUAAAAUCCGCAAAAUACCCUUACAAUAUGUGUUAGGAAAUAUGUUAUGAUAUGAUACGCAUGAUAGUAGACUAGGUAUUCAUAUUAGGACUAGAGUGGCCUGAUUUGUGAUGCCUUAGUCUAGGGGAACCUGCUGCUAUGAGAUGCUUUGAGAGCGAGUGGGUAGCCAGUGCAUAGGAAGAAUAGAGUACUCAUGAUCCGGGGUUCGGGAGGAGGACUUGGGAUGAAUGUUGUGUUGGGUUUUGAGCAUUCUAACACUCCUAAGUGUACAUGCAACCCUAAAUACCUUAGAUCUAUGUUUUCUCUAUUAUACAUGCAAAUAAGAACUUCCAAGGUAUUAUCCUAAUCUAGCAUACAAAACAAUAACUAUAGCAAGAUAGAAUACAUACCUUUUUGGUGUAGAAAGUCUUCAUGAAGCUUGAGUGUCUAGUGCCCCAAGUGUGACACCUCAAAUGGAAUCACAAUCACCAAAACACUUAGAAUGACUUGAGAGAAUUAUACAACUCAUGAAAUCGGCUAGCCCUUUCACUUCACACACUAGUGGCCGAUUUUGGUCAAGAAUAAGAUGCUUAUAUAGUUAGGGUUACACCAUGUAAACCCUAAUUGACAUGGCCUUUCAUUUCCAUGAUCCAUGGGUACAAAUACACCAUGGAGCAUCCAUGGACCAUCCUAUGGGUUUUAGCCCAACUUGAUUAUCCAUGGAGCAUUAGCCCACUAUACAAGUAUGGAUGAUUUACACAAUCAACCCAUAUAUUUAAUUAGUCUUCUUUUGAUCACUUAAUUAAUCCUAGAUUAAUUCUUGAUCAAUACUAAUUAAAUAAUCUUAUUAUUCUUAUUAUUAAUAUACUAGAACUUAUAAUAUAUUAAUAACCAUAAGUGUCUUAUUUCUCUCAUUAUAGUCUAUCCAAGUGCAUGAUGGUAUGCAACCCAAAUGGACCAUGCCGGGUCGGGUCAAGUCUUACCAAUUAUAGUUAUGGACUUAGACAUUAAUCCAACAGUCUCCCACUUGGAUAAGUCUAAAACUAUUAUUGCGUAUGACUUCAGGAACCAACUGGCAAUCGUAGCUCUCAAAAGCUUCUGUCGAACUCUGACCUUGUAGAUGAACUCUGACCUUUGUCAGUGACUUGUCCAUUAGAUAAGGGAUCAUAUAUUCCUCCAUUCUAGAUAUCAUAUGGACUGAGACAUGGAUUAUAAUCAUUCUCUCUGUCCAUUUGUUGUUUCCCGAUUUCCGAUUUAUGACGACUGACUAAUUGAACAAAUCAAAUCAGUCCUGGCCCGGCCGAGCACUUCCAUUUGUCAUCAUCAAAUCAUCGAGGGGCCCACAGAUAUCGCUUUUAUCCCGAAGGUAAAAGGAAUGGAUAAACUUCGACUCAUAUGGCUUGUUCUACUACUUGUUGAAUCAUACACAAAGGCACGUUUUAUAGCACCGAGUUACCAAAUGCGUUUUCGUGCAAUCAAUGUACUAUCAACUCAUAGUAACAACUCAUAUCUCUAGGUUUGAAGAAUAUAAGAUAUUAUCGUCUCAUGAUCACUCGUGAUAAAAUCCAUGAAGUGAUUCCAAUGAGCGCGGGUUGAAUCCAAUACUCAGAACUUAUGAGCACUCAUGAGUGUUGUAGCCCUUUGUCCAACACCUUAGACCUCUACAAGCCAACCCAUGACAGUCUUAAUUCAUAUCUACUUCCAACAUAUGACCGACUGUGGAUGGUUUGAAUAACUUAGUCAUUCCGGAAGAAUAACCUAGUUUAUUCGGGAAGUCAAAACAUGCAAAGUGAAACACAAUAAUAAUUGAAUCCAAUAUGGUAUCAACCCUUUGAACAUAAAUAAAACACCUUUUAUUUAUCACCAUAUGAUUACACAUUAUUCAUUGUAUACUGUUUCAGCUAUCAACUUUAUUCUUGAAUUUAAAACAAUAGUUGUCCCAUGCUCCAAGCAUGUACACUAUGUUUUCUUAAACACUAGUCAUGCCACACACCAAGUAUGCAUACUAUGUUUGUCUAUGAUCUUUACUUUGUGAACUAGAUCAAUUGAACAUAACUUCAAUGAUU